rnacentral:lncRNA from 1 species
AAUAAUAAUCAUGUUUCAAUAAAAUUGCUAAGGCCAGAGACAAUACAUAAACAUAUUAGACUGUUCAUGACACAUAUCACGGUGGACAGUGUCUAUGUCCUUAUUACAAGCAGCGAGAGGAAUUAAAUAUGCUUGACACCACACACACGAGCGCACAGAUGCACGACACACAUAUAGUUGAGACCAACAGAUGGACCUCGACUAGAGGUCGCCUCAUAUGGUGAACAAUUUAUUGGAGAUAAACAUGAACAUAACUUGGCCAUAGCUUGAAGCAUAGCAACAUAUGCCUAUGAAUGGCAUUCAUGCUGGUAGCAAUGCAAUCAUAUCGUUUUAGGCUUGUCCAGCUUCUUCCAUCUUAGCAAGCACUGCCAUUUCUUCCAUCUUAGCAGCAACUGUCAAAUUGAGAUAUGGUAUCCCAUUAGCGUAUGAGUUAAUUUUGCACUGGAAAUAGAGUACAAGAUGUCUUCAUGAUGUAAGUAAUAUGCCUGAAGUUGUGAGAUGGGAAGUGAAGUCAACAAAUUACAUUAACGGAAAUGCAUGGAAGGCCACACAUACGUAUUAGUCCACGAUAUGCUACAAAGCUUGUAUGUACAUAUAACAAAUUAAAUGCAUUGAAUAGAGUGAGUUUACUGAAUUUACCAGAAUCGGACAGAACACAUGGGAAACAGCAAGUGUUCUUGCAGAGUGAGUCGGAGCCACCUGCAGUAAUACAAGCAAAACAACAUGCUUUUGCCCGGGCGGAUACGCAGCAGCUGCACUGUGCCGCGGUGGCCGGGUUAACAUUGAGGCUCAAGAUGACCAGGCACAUGAUCACCAUCAAAGCGGUAGUCCUCUUUCCCUCCAUUGCCUCCUCUUGCUGCUACCUUCCUUGGUUACCUAGCUAAGUUUAUUGGUUUUGUGUUGAGAGGUGAUUCUUGAAUGGACGUUGCCGGCUGCAAUUUAUAGGCAGCUGCGCUAUGUGAUGAUAUGGACAAGGUGCAAAUGGGUGGUCCAAUGGCAAGGAAAGGGGGUAUUCUGCUUGACAUUGGCAUCAGACAAAGCCCAAUGGCAACUGCUGACACGCGAUUAAAAUCAGAUCCACAUCUUAUCCAGCCAUUCACUAAUAAUUAAACUAAACCCACGCGGUCCGCGAGAUGCAGCGUCCAUGCAUAGCACUUCCCGCAAACAAUAGGAAAAAUUAGAAUUCAGAGAUAGCAGCUGCUUGCAUGAAACACGGUUGCACAGAAAUCAGUGGUGCUUGGACGGUAAGUAGUGUGGUGUACAAGCUUAAAGCGGCAGUGAGUCACGUUGGUGUAACAAGCAGUACAUCAGCUGGAAGAUUGAUAUGUCUAUUGCCCACGCAGCAUAGCAUUUUAUUAUGAUACAUUGAGUUAUGUCAUAUUGUUACUUUAAGUUAUUUUUUAAGUAUUAGUUGUAGACAAUUUAGUUGCAAAUUUAAGCGGUUAUUUUAAAUUAUUUUUUAUAAUGGAAUAAGUGGGUAAUUUAGAUGAAGAUUAGGGGGUUACUUUAGCUUAUUUUAUAUAAUAGCAGAGGUGGGUAAUUUAGAUAUAAAUUUAGACACGUUUAACAAAAUGUAUCUACAGUUUCUGACACGGUCCGUGUGGAGACGCUCCAGACAUGCUUUACUCAAGCGCAUCUAUACUUCAGUAGAAAUGAAAUAAAGCGUAUCUAACAUAGGAAUAAAGUGUAUCUAGAGGAGGUUUUUCUUGUAGCGAGGGAUGAACCAUUAUUGGACGAACUGGCACACUUGCUUCUACCCGCUCCCCCACACCCCACAACCGCCCCCAGUGUGAGCGUCCAAGUCUCGAUCGUUGCUCGCGUUAAGCGGUGCCGCCGCACUGCACCACAGCGACAGAAGCCACACCACCGGCUGCAUGUGACAGCGGGGAGCACCCUCACCACCUGCCCGCGGGGAGCGCUUACGCCAGCCAUAGUGUCCCCGUAGAACCGCCACGCGAGCAUGUGAGCCACCGACCGCCGUGCCCCCAAGGGCCAUCACCGCGCUACCCGAGGAUGUUGUCUACCCGGUGCCACGCGCCUCUGCUAGGUGCCUGCACCUGGGCCGCCACCGGUCGCCUGCACAGCCACGUGUUGCAGCUGCCCCCUGCGCUGAGCCACCCCAUUAAACGUUGGAAGAACCACCUGAGUCUCGCACGCCGAGGUCUUGCUGGUGACGACCAUGGCCUCCGCGAUCAUAUGAAAAAGUUGUCAACUACAAAGUAUUAGGCCUCGUCGAGCUCUACAAUUUUGAUCGAAAGUUUCUAUUCAUCCGAGAUCAAAUGAAAAAGUUGGUACUCAAAAUAUACAUCCAUUAAUCUAGUCGUGCUAAUCCUUACCACAAAUUAAAAAACUAGCAUGUGUCGUGUGUUUGUGACCCUAAACAAUCACAAACGAAUAACUUAUCAACUUCAAAAUUUAGCUGAUCAGGAGUCUAGGCAACCUCAAGGGUAUAAAUAUGUGCACCCUGAGGCUUGCAAGAUUUUAUCUCUCGAUUAAUCAAUGCAAUUUUUGGGCGCCACGCAGCCAAACCCUUAGGAGUAGAAGUAACGUAGCUUUUUGAUGAGUAUCUUCUUGCGCGCAGGGCUGCAUCAGCUUCGAUAUCCGACGAACUUGUAAGUACCGUCAUCCGGUCAUUACGUUAUCUAUAUUAAAAGUUUCUAGGCAUCAUCCAAUAUUCUAAUCUUUUAUCGUGUGGCUAAUUAUCGAGUUAUCUUAUAUUGUAAAUAAAACUUGCUAGGGUUUGUCCAAUAUUCCAUUUGUUUUCAGCGUUACUGCUUAAUUAGAUCUGCUUAGGUUGUUCUCAUCGGCUUCUAGUCUUGUUUAAACGUUCACAAGUUAUUUGAUCGUAUCGGCAAGUUCGACCUUGCAUGCUUUUAUCGCUUUAUCUAUACUAGGUCCGAUAGAUCUUUACCCCUUCCCCUUGUAUUGCUAGCAGUUGGAUCCAUAACGUUAGAACGAUACUGUUGAGAGCUGAUGCAUUGAUUUAGUAUCAUCCAUAUCUCAUAGAAUGUAUCAUGGUUAAUGGCAAUUUAAUGAAAUUAUAAAGGAUAAUAACAAUCGUGCUUUCGGCGUUCCAAAAAUCAAUCAAGAAUUCAUCAUGGUUGUGCAGUGUAUGGAAACCUUAUGGUAAUAGUUAGAUGGGAAAUGUUGUAUUAUGUAAUAAAUCCAGGUACUUCACAAAUCAUGAUCGAUGGAUGUCUAACACUGUUGAAAGAGAUUGGAAUAAAGCAGACUCACCUCAGACUAUGCACCAUGUCUGAGUGACCCACCUCACCUUGCCAGGUCACUGGUCUUGCCAGCACACAAGCUAUGAUGUUGCCAGGAGUGGUCAGUACACAAAUCUAGCUACCAGUCGGAUCGAAGGGCAGGCAUUUGCAUUGUGGUUGUGCUUGAACAUGGAGAUGUCUUGCGAUUGUCACGCACCAUACAUCCUCUCUCAGUUUCACUCCGCCUCACACACGGAUAGGACACCAGGGACCCGACACCAUGCAUGCCGAUUUCAUAUUAUUAAUAUUUAUUUUUUGAAUGGUUGUUGAAACUAUAUAUAUAGUUAGUCCAAUCUCACGUUUCCGAUUAUAAAAAUUAACAUAAAGAGAUCGGAAGGGAGAGCACUAGAGCCGGCAUUUAUACAAACUGGUAUGAAUAGUAAAAUCUAGAAUUCAUAAAUAAAAAAAUGAUUUGCACAUCUAUGCAAUAAUUAGUGGUUAGUGGUAGGUCUAGAGAGAUAUCUCAUCAAAUCGAUGAGUUAUAUCCGGUUUAAACGAGGAUAAAAAUGAGUGUAGUCUUUUCGCAGCUGUACCGCCUUUCCUUUCGUGUGUUCUAUUGUUCCCCUAACACCAAGUCUCCAAGACUCAAGAAAAUAAGGAAAGUGAUAGCAGCCUAGAAAUCGACCAAGUUUCUUUCCCCCUUUGGCUUUUCUACUAGGAUUCGGAAUCCUCUUUCGCAUGACAAUCUUAAUUAUCUCCCAUAGUUCAAAACUCACAAAACUAUCAAAAAUCCACCGAGAAUAAAUUAUGUAAAAACAUGCACACACAGAUAAUAAUAAUAAUAAUCAUGUUUCAAUAAAAUUUCUAAGGCUAGAGACAAUACAUAAACAUAUUAGACUAUUCAUGACACAUAUCACAGUGGACAGUGUCAGUAUCCUUAUUACAAGCAGCGAGAGAUGCUUGUCACCACACACACGCGUGCACAGAUGCACGACAUACAUAUAGUUGAGACCAACAAAUGGUUGCCCCAUAUGGUGAACAAUUUAUUGGAGAUAAACAUUAACAUAACUUGGCCAUAGCUUGAAGCAUAGCAACAUAUGCCUAUGAAUGGCAUUCAUGCUGGUAGCAAUGCAAUCAUAUCGUUUUAGGCUUGUCCAGCUUCUUCCAUCUUAGCAAGCACUCCCAUUUCUUCCAUCUUAGCAACAACUGUCAAAUUGAGAUAUGAAAAUUCCAUUAGCACAUGAGUUAAUUUUGCAGUGGAAAUAGAGUACAAGAUGUCUUCAUGAUGUAAGUAACAUGCCUGAAGUUGUGAGAUGGGAAGUGAAGUCAACAAAUUACAUUAACGGAAAUGCAUGGAAGGCCACGCAUGCAUACGUAUUAGUCCACGAUAUGCUACAAAGCCUUCUAUGUACAUAUAACAAAUUAAAUGCAUUGAAUAGAGUGAGUUUAGUGAAUUUUACCGGAAUCGGUCAGAGUACAUGGGAAACAGCAAGUGUUCUUGCAGAUGAAGUCGGGGCUACCCGCAGCAAUACAAGCAAAACAACAUGCUUUUGCUCGGGUGGAUACGCAGCAGCCACACUGUGCCGCGGUGGCCGGGUUAACAUUGAGGCUCAAGAUGACCAGGCACAUGAUCACCAUCAAAGCGGUAGUCCUCUUUCCCUCCAUUGCCUUCUCUUGCUGCUACCUUCCUUGGUUACCUUGCUAAGUUUAUUGGUUUUGUGUUGAGAGGUGAUUCUUGAAUGGACGUUGCCGGCUGCAAUUUAUAGGCUGUGUGAUGAUAUGGACAAGGUGCAAAUGGGUGGUCCAAUGGCAAGGAAAGGGGGUAUUGGCAUCAGACAAAGCCCAAUGGCAACUGCUGACACGCGAUUAAAAUCAGAUCCACAUCUUAUCCAGCCAUUCACUAAUAAUUAAACUAAACCCACGCGGUCCGCGAGAUGCAGCGUCCAUGCAUACACUUCCCGCCAAACAAUAGGAAAAAUUAGAAUUCAGAGAUAGUAGUGUGCCAGCAGCUGCUUGCAUGAAACACGGCAAUCAGUGGUGCUUGGACGGCAAGUAGUGUGGUGUACAAGCUUAAAGCGGCCUUGUGUAACAAGCAGUACAUCAGCUGGAAGAUUGAUGUCUAUAGAGGCUUGUUAUUAUCUUUAAUUCCACAUACUGCACAAUGUCAAAGUAAAAUGCGAAAGGAUAACAAGCUGAUACAGAGUGAUUGGAUUUACUUGAGGAGUAGCUUGAAGAAACAUCCAGCAACAACAGAAAAGUCAAAGUAUCGAGCCCAUGAAGCUAUAAAGCAGAUUGUAUUGGCUAGAAGAUUCAGGACGCUGGACUUACAAAAGUUGGAAGCAUGACAUUCAUACUCCGAACUUAGGGGCCUGUGUUCACACUGGAUGAUUUUAGCCGGUGAAAUCCCUUGUUUCGCAUUUUUCAUCAGGUCCCAAUGCCCAUGCAGCAUAACAUUUUAUUAUGAUACAUUGAGUUAUGUCAUAUUGUUACUUUAAGUUAUUUUUUAAGUAUUAGUUAUAGGCAAUUUAGUUGCAAAUUUAAGUAGUUAUUUUAAAUUAUUUUUUUAUAAUGGCAUAAGUGGGUAAUUUAGAUGAAGAUUAGGGGGUUACUUUAGCUUAUUUUAUAUAAUGGCAGAGGUGGGUAAUUUAGAUAUAGAUUUAGGGGUUACUUUAGGCUAUUUUCUUAAUGGAAUAGGUGGGUAAUUUUUUUAGAAAAUAUAAUAGAUCCAAUGGCUACGAUGAUUUGAGUCUAAUGAUUGAUGGCAAGAUGUUUUGCUUGUUUGUGGGAAUUUUAAAUAUUUCUCUUUUUUCUAGAGUGUCCACCUAGAAUGCUAGGUGGUUUCACUUGGAGGCUUCAAAAGGAGCUUCCAAAUUAGUAAUAGUAAGAUUUUCUCAAAAGAGACUUGAUUCUACCACUAUAACUUGAUUGGCCGCCCCGGCCUCUACCUUUGCCUCCAUUUGACUAUUUGAGUUGGCUGUCAACGAUUCACGGUGCUGGCAACAUUACGUUUGAUCCAAAUGCCACUACUCAUGUGCGCCAGCUGUAUUCUACCAAGUGGCAUGUGGGAAUGCCAUGAUGCAUGUGCAGUAACAGCGUGCACAUCUUGUAGGAUUCGCACCUCGUUUUCACUAUUGUAUCAUCUUAGCGAUUAGGAGCGAAGUGUGCUUUGGGGUUGCAAUUGGGAUAUAGACCUUAUUCUCGAAGAGAAUCUUAAAAGCUUACAUUCGCCCCCUCCGGUCGCCCGUGUUCCGAUCCUUCACCUAUAAAUUAGGAGUAGCAGGUAGUAAGUGGCAGGUUAGAUAAGUACUCGUUGAUGAAUGUUGACUUGGCGUGAUCGGCUCUGCUAUUUUCACGAAGAUGCCAAUAUUGAAAGCACAUCCACCAUUUCUGCGGAUGUGAGGGAUGAACUAAUUAAUUGUUUCUUGUCCAUUAUUGCACCGUACCUCCCAUUUUCCCGUUUUCCAAACAAUUAAAGGUACCCUUACGUUACGCUUGAUCCAAAUGCCACCACUCAUGUGCGCAAGUGGCAUGUGGUAAUGCCAUGAUGCAAGUGCAGUAACAGCGUGUACAUCUUGCAUGAUUCGCGCCUCGUUUUCACUAUUGUAAUCUAUAAAGAAACAAACAAAAAACAAAACGAUGGAUGGAUCAGCUCGGGAUCCAAUAAUCGAGAGGAAUUCAAGGAAAAAGAAAAAUUUGGGAUCACGUGUGCGGAUCCUAAUAACAAUAUAUAGUAGGACAUCUCCAUGCUCACCUAGUAGCCACUACUAGUGCGCCGGCCCAGUUGGCGCUAAGACAUCGUACGUGCAUUAAGGGGGUGUUUGGAUACUGGACGCUAAACUUUAGCAGUGUCACAUCGGAUGUUCGGAUGCUAAUUAGGAGGACUAAACAUGAGCUAAUUAUAAAACUAAUUGCAGAACCCCUGUGCUACUUCGCGAGAUGAAUCUAUUAAGGCUAAUUCAUCCAUCAUUAUCAAAUGGUUACUGUAGCACCACAUUAUCAAAUUAUGGACUAAUUAGGCUUAAUAGAUUCAUCUCGCGAAUUAGACUCCAUUUGUGCAAUUAGUUUUGUAAGUAGUCUAUGUUUAAUACUUCUAAUUAGCAUCCAAACAUCCGAUGUGACAGGUGCUAAACUUUAACAGUGGGGAUCCAAACGGGGCCUAAGUCUGUGGUGCCCAACGAUCUCUUUCUUCUAACUCAUGCUUGACUGUGACGGUGCUAUUAUAUAUUAUUGCAUGAUCAUCAGGAUAAGAUCGUAUAGUGACUGAGUGAGACAUGUAUGUACUAACUUGCAUUUAUCCAAGAAGAGGCACAUGAGUAGUGGUGCAUGCAUCCACACCUUGGCAUGCUGCAAACUUUUAUGGGUCCAUAUGUAUAGCCAAGUAAACUAUUUUAUCCUGCUGCAAGCUGCAGACAUAAGUUUAUUUAACCUUUGUUCACAAUCACUUCCACUGUCGUCGCAAUUGCCAAAGACAAGCUCACCAAUGCUAUUGCGGAGCAGGCCAAUUUCCUGUGGAACUUCGGCGACGACCUGAAGGACAUGAACUCGGUGCUGGAGUCCAUCUCAGCAGCGCUUCAGGACGCUGACACCGGUAGAAAAACGACAUUCCAUCCUCAACAAAAAUCCUAGCAUCCUCUACUCAGUCAGAUGUACUGUGUAGGUGAGAUGGUAAGGAAGCUAUGCGCGAGGCUUGAGGUCGUGAGUUCGAAUCCCAUGCACCACGCACGCACGCGCAUAUUUCGCGUGACUUGUGAUCAGCCAAGGAGAAAUGGGUGCAGCUGUUGCUUAAGUGCCUGAGGCACACUGCCAUAGACAUCUCGGAUUUGCUCGAAGACUACCAAGAAACUAGGAACCCUUAACAGCAAAGGUGAGUACUUAUGUAUGUCAGCAUCUAUGUUGUCCAUGCUUCCAAUGCAAUAACACGAAGGACUACUCUUCCUAGCGGACUCUUCACAAUCACUCGUAAAGGUAUGCGUUUCUCAAUGCAAUUUCAUAGAAGGCAAUCGAUCCAACCAAGCGACUAAAUCAUUCGUCCUUGCCAAUGAUGUGCAUCAGGUUUUCUAUAUGAAGGGCAUGUCUAGCAAACCCAAGAUUUCAGAACAAAAGAAAAAUCAUGUGAGCCAAAGCGCCACAUUGUUCUUCCAAGUAAAAAAAAUCAUGGGAGUCAAGAACAAAUCAGACCAAUCAGGGGAUUAUUGUCAGCUUGAUGGCAUGCCUCCAUUCGAUGUCGAAGUUGACCCAAGCAUCAUGUUAGCCAAAGUUCAAAUGUUCGUGCGUUGCUAUGGUAAAUAUCAAUUGUGUUUUUUAAACUCAUGGAUUUUUUUAUCUAAGUUUUUAUUACACUUAUUGGAUGUCUACACAUUUGCUAGAAAACCAAAAUAAUUUUGACUUAAUUAUUUCUUUCAACUCAAAUACUCAUUAAAUUUCUACGUUUUUAUUUAAGCAAGAGAGUUGCUACAAAAAAAUGGAUACGUAACCAUAUUGUAUCAUACAAAGCAACCACAUUUCACAUAUAGUCCGGCUUUGCAAACACCAUUGUUAUCUGAACAUAGCAUACAUGAGUUAGUAGACAUGGAUAUAUUUCUAAUUGCAAGUAGCAUAUAACCAGCCUGCACCGACGCAGCUCAAUAUGCGAUAAUUUUUAUCUUCCCAUGUAAUUUUUCUACUCUAGUACAUAUUGAACUCCACAUAAAUGUGAUCUUUCACGCCACAUACGGUUCCUAAAGUUUGGAAACUAAAUAGAUAGCCAGAAAUUUUUUAGAAAGUAUUUAUAUGGAUACAUGUAUGUUCUUCGCAAACUAACAGUAUUGUUUACCAAUAUCAAAAGGAAUAUGGCUAGGAUCAUUGCCGCAUAUGGCAGGUGAUGGUAAAGUUAUCAACUGCAAAGUAUUAGGCCUCGUUGAGCUCUACAAUUUUGAUAUAAAGUUUCUAUUCAUCCGAGAUCAAAUGAAAAAGUUGGUACUCAAAACAUACAUCCAUUAAUCUAGUCGUGCUAAUACUUACCACUAAAUGAAAAACUAGCAUGUGUUGUGUGUUUGUGACCCUAAACGAUCACAAAUGAAUAACUUAUGGGCGUUGCUAGCGCCCGAACGUAUGGUCCGGGGUGCUAGCAUCGGAUGCACGAGCAGCCGUCCGAUCAGGUCCGACACCACUUCAGGAUCUGGCUCAAAAAAAAGUCCCACCGAAACAUUGUUCCAUGUUGCAUAAAAUAUCCCACUAUCCAUUGCUGGGUCUAGAGCAAGCACCAGCUUCCAAUAUGCUGCUCACCCAAGCUAAAUAGGGGCAUUAAAAUUGCAGAAAUAUGUCGCAUAUCCUUCUCAAAUUAAACUAAAUCGCAACAUCCGAAAAUUUCUUACACAAAACCAUGAAACAUAUCGAUUAGAUAGGUGUAACAAGAUGAAAUAUGGUAUGCAACAUAUAGAUUCUGAAAAACAGAUGAAACAUUAUUUAAUGAUUGUUGAAACAGUCGAGAAAAAUAGAUGUAACAUCUAAAAUUAAGAAAAGAAGCUUCAUGCAAAUUGCAAAAAGCUGAAAUAAGUGGUUGAAACAUUUCAAAUCACCAAAUGCCACAUUUGAAAUGACUAGAUGAAACAUCACAAAAUCAAUUGCAACAGUUGAAGAUGAAAACAAUCAAAUGCCUUGCCUUUCUCUAGAUUUGACCCUCAAGCAUGAGUCCAGCCAUUUGCACAUUAGACCCUUGGGAGGAGCUCACCGGAGAACAACAAGACCUUGUUCUCCAACAAUUUUCCGAUCAAAUUGCAACAUAAAAAACAAAGCAUUGCAACAUCUGGCGGUAUCAUGAGCUACAACAUCAACCAGUUAGGAUCAGGAGAAAGAGGGCAAACACAAGCCUAGCAAUGAGUUAUAUCCGGUUUAAACGAGGAUAAAAAUGAGUGUAUUUUCCACUCAUCAUGUUGUCUUUUCGCAGCUGUACCGCCUUUAGUGUGUUGUAUUGUUCCCCUAACACCAAGUCUCCGAGGUCCGUGAAAAUAAGGAAAGUGAUAGCAGCCCAGAAAUCGACCAAGUUUCUUUCCCCCUUUGGCUUUCCUACUAGGAUUCGGAAUCCUCUUUCGCAUGACAAUCUUAAUUAUCUCCCGUAGUCCAAAACUCACAAAAACAUUAAACAUCCUCCGAGAAUAAAUUAAGUAAAAAACAUGCACACACCAAUAAUAAUAAUAAUCUUGUUUCAAAAAAAUUGCUAAGGCCAGAGAUAAUACAAAAACAUAUUAGACUGUUCAUGACACAUAUCACGGUGGACAGUGUUUGUGUCCUUAUUACAAGCAACGAGAGGAAUUAUAUAUGCUUGUCACCACACACACGCGCGCACAGAUGCACGACAUACAUAUAGUUGAGACCAACAGAUGGAUCGACUAGAGGUGGCCCCAUAUGGUGAACAAUUUAUUGGAGAUAAACAUUAACAUAACUUGGCCAUAGCUUGAAGCAUAGCAACAUAUGCGUAUGAAUGGCAUUGAUGCUAUCGUUUUAGGCUUGUCCAGAUAAUAAUAUCUGGUUUUAAGCAUAACAUGGUUUUUACUUAAUUUAUCUGUGCGUGCGAUAAUAAACCAGAUAAUAGCUUGAAACAUGUUGUGCAUUGGCACCACACGCACGAGAAUAAAUUAAGUAAAAAACAUGCACACAUAGAUAAUAAUAAUAAUCAAGUUUCAGUAAAAUUGCUAAGGCCAGAGACAAUACAUAAACAUAUUAGACUAUUCAUGACACAUAUCACGGUGGUCAGUGUCUGUGUCCUUGUUACAAGCAGCGAGAGAUGCUUGUCACCACACGCACGCGUGCACAGAUGCACAACAUACAUAUAGUUGAGGCUGCAAUUUAUAGGCAGCUGCGCUAUGUGAUGAUAUGGACAAGGUGCAAAUGGGUGGUCCUGAUAUGGAUAAGGUGCGAAUGGCUGUCUACUUGUAUUGUGUAGCUCCAAUGUACGUAUGUAUCUUAUACAUGUAUACAGUUGAUGGAUAAGGUAUACAGUCUUUGUUACCAAGUAAUUUUACUUUCGCACGUUUCAGCCGAGAGGCAGAAGAGAAUAUUUUACAGAGAGGGCAGAGAAGGAGGUUGGUAGGGUUCCCCGUGUCGCCAAGAUUUUUGCAUUUUACAUGUGUGUAUAGAUCACUUCGUCGUGCGGCGCCCUACUCCAGGUUGUACCCCAGCAGACCACGUUCUGUUUCUCUGCCUCCACAAGGACCACAAGACUUAGUAAAAAAAGCUAAACUUUGCAACACGAUGUAUACAGAAUUAGUAGCUAGAUCUAUAUAUGAAAUUCAUCCUAAAACUGAUAGGUGGAGAGAAGUAAAAAAUACCAAUUUGAUUUCCUAUCUGAUUAGAGGAAAUAUGGAUGGAUCGGUCGCAAUUAGCGAAGUGGCUCCAAUUGACAUAAAAGGUGUGCAUUGCAUUCAGCAAGAAAAAUUGAGUUUCUACUGAAUCUAUGAAAAAAAAUGAGCUUACGUUAUCAUAUAUAGGCAUAAAUUAAAAUGACAAGAAAUUCCAACCACGGUAUAUAAGACCAAUAAUUGGAAAGAUGGAUGAAAGGAAGAUAGGGUUUAAAUUAAAGUCUCCGCAUAGGCAGUUUGACUAUGAUCAAUUUUACCUGUAUUUCUCAAUAUGUAGAUAAUUCUAUGCCAACAAUUAAAAACUAAUACAUAAUUUGACACGGUGCACCUUGAGAACGUUUUGAAAAUGUACUCUCGUUACGCGUUCACCUCCUUAACAAUAACUGCGACUGUAAAAUAGGUACAUCGACGCUAGCUAAAUAAACAACUAUAAGAUUUAGCAAGAGAUCAUUUUAUACAAUCCUGUAACGAAAGAAUUUGACAAUUAUAUUGUCCAUAUAUUUUGACGAAAAACGUCUAAAUUAUAUAAGGUGGGCCCGAAACAGUUGGAUUAGCAUAUGGUUACCCGUUUGUUGUCUUCCGGCCCUAAAAAAAGGACCAUCUUACUGAAAAAGGUUCUAUUAGCACAAGUAGAGAACUGACUUUCGAUGCACCCCCUUUUAUCCCGGUUUAAAGUAGGCCCGGGAGAAAAGGGGGUGCGCCAUGGUAGGCAAAAAUAGAGGGGAGAUUUACUCCCGGUUGGUAUUUGCAACCGGGACUAAAGGCCACCCUUUUGUCCCGGUUGGAGCCUCCAACCGGGAAAAAAGGGUGGGUGGACCUUUUGUCCCGGUUGGUGUUACCAACCGGGACAAAUAGUUUACUCCCGGUUGGAGGUUCCAACCGGGAGUAAACUUUUAGUCAUUUUGUCGGCCCUUUUGUCCCGGUUGGAGCCUCAAACCGGGAGUAAACUUUCAAUCGGGACAAAAGGUGUUUCUUUUUGUGUCAGUUGGAGUUUCUAACUGGGAUAAAAACUCAUCCCCAUUAUAUACCAAGACAGAGGUCUUUCUUCCUCCUCCAGCCCGAGCCAGUCCACCACAAAGACAGAGAGCUCAGCUUCACCUACUCUCCGGUGGUGCCGAAGCAAGGGAGGUGCUGCCCGAAUUUUUUUACCCUCAUUUUCGUGGGAAUUUCACUCAGCCAACACAAGUGUUGUGAAGGUUUGCUACUUCAUCCUCGUGUUACGCUUUGAUUUAUGCUUUGGAGAUGGAAAGUUUAUUUGCUAGAAUGUGAUGAAGUAGAAAAUGGAGAGGUACUUUAAGCUAGAAUGUGAGGGAGAUUGAUGUGUCAUAUAUAGUAUGUAUUCUUGCAGUGAUUUAAGAAUGAUGCUACCUUGUCUAGACGGUUUAUCUUAUCAAAUUCAAUAUGGUUUUUCAAAUUCAUACUUAUUGAACUUGCAUACCGUGUUCAUGUCGGCGAGAAUGUUCUACGAGAAAGAGUGGAUACGGACAUCGUGACCGUAUCCCCUUUUUCGUAGAAUCGAACCUCUUUCAUGACGAAGUGCGAUGCCGCCCAGUUGAGAACAUGCUCGCCAGAUGAUCACGGUCUUCAAGUUCAACAAGUUCUGUAGGCAUACCGUGAUCAUCUCGGUAAGCAUGUUCUCCGUGGAGCAGCAACGGACGUCAAGGAGGAGGUUCGAUUUUACGAGAAAGAGAGGCAACAGACAUCGUGGAUGACUGUGUCCCCUUUCUCGUAAAAUCGAACCUCUUCCAUGACGAAGUAUGGUGCCGCUCAGUUGAGAACAUGCUCACCGAGAUGAUCACGAUCUUCAAGUUCAACAAGUUCACCGCUAAGGUAAGAAUUUUUGUACAUAGAUGGCUUCUGCUACUGGAGGAAGUGGCGAUGGUGGGGGCGAUCGUCGUUCCUCUUUCGGCAAGGGGAAAAUCAUAGUUGGCCCUCAGGAUAAGCCGAAGAAAAUGAGCGCGUUGGAGAAAGCAAUGCUUCGUUAUUUGCAGAAACGUCAUGAAGAAGCUGUUGCCGCGGGUCAGGAACCUCCUUUUGGUUGUCGUUAUGCUCCACCCUCAGUCCCGGGUGUUUCACGUCCACUUAGUACUACCAUUUCAGGUGGCACAAAUAAACCACAGGAUGAGGCUGGGUCAGCGGAACCUUCAUCUUCACCGCCCAAGGAUGCUUAAAGUCCUCCUAGAUAAUAACCAGUGGAUGGCUUGUUGUAUUGUAUCAUGUUGUUUGGAUAUUUAAUUUAAAUAUGUGUAUUUGUAUCUAUAUCUAAACUUUCAGCAUUAUUUGCACUACAACGUUUGACAUGCUUUCAAUCAUGAAUCCAUUUUCAAGUGUAAUCAAUUUUCACGCGUAAUCCAUUUUCAAGUGUAAUCAAUUUUCACGCGUAAUCCAUUUUCAAGUGUAAUCAAUUUUCAUGUGUAAUCCAUUUUCAAGUGUAAUCAAUUUUCACGCGUAAUCCAUUUUCAAGUGUAAUCCAUUUUCAUGCGUAAUACGAUGCAGAUGGACCGGCAAUGGAUGUAUAAUGCAGACAGACGGAGCAAGGUGUUUAUUGAUGGCUUGCAUUAUUUUCUCGAAGUGGCCAAAGCGAACAAGCCAGAGAAUGGGAUCGUAUGUUGUCCAUGCUUCCAAUGCAAUAACAAGAAGGACUAUUCAAAGGAUUCCUGGGGGACUAUUCACAGCCACUUGUUUAGAUACGGUUUCAUGCCUAACUAUUUGGUUUGGACCAAGCACGGUGAAAGAGGGGUUGUAAUGGAAGAUGGUGAGGAGGAGGAGGAGGAUGGCAACAUUCCGGACUAGGUUGCAGGCCAAGCUUUUGCAGAUACUACAAUGGGCGAGGCUGAUGAAGAUGAGUUUGCAGAAAAUGGCCCUACGAUGACCUUGGUCAGGUGCUACGAGAUGCACACAGAGAUUGCGAAACUGAGAAGGAAGCAGCAAAGUUGCAACGCAUGAUAGAUGAUCACCAAAAAUUGUUGUACCCAGAUUGCCAGCAGGGCCAUAAAAAACUAGGUACGACACUAUAAUUUGUGCAAUGGAAGGCAAAAAAUGCUGUGUCCGAUAAGGCAUUUCAGGGGAUGUUGAACAUUGUCUAGAAGAUCAGGCGAGAUGAUCCUGGUGAUGUCGAGGGGCAGUCUCCCAAGAAGAGAGUUCCCGCGAAGGUGAUGUGGUAUUUCCCUAUAAUACCACGCUUGAAGCGCUUGUUCAGGAACAAGGCAAAUGCUAAGUUGAUGCGAUGGCACAAAGAAGAACAUAUGGAAGAUGAGAUGCUGAGACACCCCGCAGAUGGGGCCCAGUGGAGAUCAAUUAAUAGAGCAUUCCCGAACUUUGAAAGUGAAGCAAGGAACAUAAGGUUUGGUUUAAGUAUUGAUGGAUUCAAUCCAUUCGGUGAGUUGAGUAGUGGCUAUAGUACUUGGCCUGUGACCCUAUGUAUGUUCAACCUUCCUCCUUGGCUGUGCAUGAAGCGGAAGUUCAUUAUGAUGCCGGCGCUUAUCCAAGGCCCAAAACAACCCGGCAAGGGAUAUGGAACAGAGGAGUUGAUCGAGUUUUGUGUUGAUUUUAUUGACUCAAUUGACUCGAUUGGGGUUCCAACUUCACGCCACGAGGGGAGGCUCCGGGGAAUGGGCACCCUUGGAAGGAAAUCAAGUUUGAGCAAUGAUACUGAUUUGUUCGACAAGGCACACUACACUGUUCUGCAAUAGUCAUCCUUUGUGUCUCCCUAUAUCGAGCAGCACAGGCAGAUGGUAGUUUUCCAAAAACCUGACGAAAUCCGAUGCUUGGCUUACACAUCAUCACAUGGAAACUUUUUCCUCCUGGUUGCGCCAACAACUCAUGGGUAACUCUGAGAUUUACCUACAGCUCGCUUGGUUAGCCAGGGGACCUGCUAGCACAAUCGUGAAAUUUCAAGACUAUGAGAUAAAUGGUUAUACAUUUUACACGAGAGCCUAGGACCAGAAAAGCACGAACCAGAAUAGUGGUGUCCGCAUAGAUGCCAUAGAUAGAAAUAAUAACAAGGAGUCGUAUUAUGGUUUCAUACAGGAGAUAUGGGAACUCGAAUACGGACCGCUGUACAUCCCUGUAUUUCUUUGCAAUUGGGUGAAGCUAACUGCCGUAACCAAAGAUCAGUACGGAAUGACAAUAGUAGAUCUGAGCAAGACUGGAUACAGUGAUGACCCAUUCGUACUUGCGAAUGAUGUGCAUCAGGUUUUCUAUGUGAAGGACAUGUCUAGCAAACCCAAGAGAAAUCCAGAAGAGACAUGGGAGCCAAAGUGCCACAUAGUUCUUCCAGGUAAAAGAAAAUCAUUGGAGUCGAGGAUAAAAUAGACGAAUCAGAUGAUUAUGAUCAGUUUGAUGGCAUGCCUCCAUUCGCAGUUGAAGUUGACCCAAGCAUCCUGGUAUCCAAAGAAGAGGCUCCAUACUUACGCCGCGAUCAUGAUCAAGGAACUUUCGUGAAGAAGAAAUUUUACAACGUUGUAUUGUAAUGCGCUAAAUUUACUUGACCUUUGUGAAGUACUUGAUACAAUUUUUAAUUUAACCUAUGUAUGAUUUCAUGUGUUCUUAAAUUUGUUGAGGUGAAGAUUUAUUAGAUAAACAUGAACAAUGUUAACCACACACAUACAUGGAUUAUUUUUGCGCGUUGAAAUUAUUUAAUUGAAUAAUUUCUCGAUCAUUGCGAUGCAGUAAAAUAAUUAUUUUAGAGGCUAAACGAACUGGUAUAGAAUUAAUGACUAAUUCACACUUAUUGUCAAUAUACUUGCUAAUUAAAUAUAUUUUUGCAUAUUCAAAAUAUGUGAAUUUUUUUGUUUUUGCAUCCUGAAAUGCAGUGAAAACAUACAUAAAAUCCUUUUCCAAAAAAUAGGCGGGAGAUGAAAGUGUGGGAAAAGGCACUUUUGUCCCGGGUGCCAAUAGAAACCGGGACAAAAGGACCUUUUAUCCCUGUUGCCAAAAGCAACCGGGAUCAAAGGCCGUCCCUUUUGUCUCGGGUGCCAACGCCAACCGGGACAAAAGGCCCCCUUUUUAUCCCGGUUGACAACUACAACCGGGAUAAAAGGGUAGUUUUCGUUUCCCGCUGGGGACGUACCCUUUUAUCCAGGUUACAGUUAGCAACCGGGAUAAAAGGGGGGGCCCUUUUGUCCCGGUUGGUGUUGGCACCCGGGAUAAAAGGGCCUUUAGUCCCGGGUUCAAUUACGAACCGCGAUAAAAGGGGGGAGGGAUAAAAGGCACUGUAGCCUCUUCUACCACCACCCCACGCUAGUUACGACACUUAGCCAAAUUUUCACCGCUGCCAAGAUCCCGCGCCCUUCCGCCAGCUCCGUCACCGCCCAUCCGCCUCCCUCGCCGGCCGCCGUCGUCCUCGUCGUCCAUCGCCCCGGCCAUCAUCGUCCCGCCGCCCGACCGCCUCGCCCGCGCCCAGACCACCUCCUCCUCCAUCGCCCCGGCCCGCCUCCGAUCCUCCUCCGUCGUGCCCCCUCGACCUCGUCGCAGCCGGCCGCCUCCAUCGCGGGGCCUCGUCCCCGCCUCAGUCAACGCCACAUUCUCUGUCGCCGCCUCAUCACCGCCUCUGUCGCGCGCGCCGCCUCCGUCCCUCGUCGCCGUCCGCCUCCGCCCGUUGUUGCUGUGGCCACCUCGCUCCGUCCCCGCCUCCGCCGUCCCACCGCCCCGGCCGCCGCCGUCCCGCCGUCCCGGCCAUCUCGUCGCCCAGCUAGGCACCGCGUGAGGUCCGCCGGCACUGGCACCGGGAAUGAACAGCUCUUGCUGACGCAAACCCACCGGCUUGCGUAAGCAAGGACCUUUUUUAUUUUUUAGUUAGAAAAUGAAUAGAUAUUAGUAGAUUAGUUAGAAAAUCAAUAGAUAUUUGUAGAUUAGUUAGAAAAUCAAUAGAAAAUCAGUUGAUAAAUUUUGUAGAAAUUCAUUCAAAUUAGUAGGAAUUAGUUGUAAUUUGCUAGAAAUUCCAAUAAAUAUGUUGAAAUUAGUAGAAAUUUGGUAGAAAUUCUUACAAAGUACUACUAAUUUGUUGAAAUUUGUAUAAACAUUCCGAACUUUGUGGGAUUCAUGUUAUUGUAAAAUUAUUAGGCAUUAGUAGAAAUUUUGUAGAAAUUCCAAUAAAUAUGUAGAAAUUAGUAGAAAUUUUGUAGAAAUUCAUACAAAGUACUACUAAUUUGUUGAAAUUUGUAUAAACAUCUUGGAUCAGCGCUUGGUUUGUUGAAAUUUGUAUAAACAUCUCGGAUCAGCGCUUGGGUUGUGUAAGUGUCCGUUUAUCUACAUGUAAAUUUUGCCUCAUAUCAUUAUUUUUUUUGCGUGCGUCACCGUACUAACUUCGUCUUCCAUUUUAUGUAGCAUGCUAAUUCAGACGUGCCGACGAGAGGCGUACCUACAUAUUGGCUUCAUGGGUCCAUCCGUAGUUAACCAAAAACAGAUACAAUUAUCGCCGGAAAAAACCUUGGUGGAAGUAUACAAUUUCCUAGACAAACAAAAAUUCAAGGAUUUCAUACUACUUCCAUACAACUUCAGGUAAGUGUGUGUAUACCGUCUACUUUCGUUGUCUUUUUCCUUACCUGAUUAAUUAGUUAGCUCUAAUAUGCAUGAACAUUUUACGUACGCAGCUUCCACUGGAUCCUUAUUAUAAUUGAGCUUGAAAGAAGCCACGUCACUGUCUUCGAUUCGUUGAGGAAAGAUCCGGUGGAGUACCAAGACAUGCAAGACAUGCUAGGCUUGUAAUAAUUUUGGACCUUUAUCUCUAUGCAAAAGUUUGUUUCCUAAAUUUUAUCCCUGUUACACUAUAUCAUUCAUUAUUCUAAUCCGCAGCGCAUGGAAACAAUUCAUAAGGACACACAAAGGUCCAUUCAAAGAAAAACUUACAUGGAACACAGACUUCCUGGUACGUAUGAAGUCUGCACAUUUAGUACAUUGUAUAACACGAAUAUUUCAUAACUUAUUUUUUUCGACACUGAAGUGCUUAAGACAGGAACUCGGGAAUAAUCUAUGUGGCUACUACAUCUGUGAGCACAUGCACAUUUUUAUGGGACCCAAGGGACUAAAGAUGACGCCGCACAACUUUAAAGUACGUAAAAUAAAACUAUUACUAGUUAAUUAUUUUCUAGCUCCUUAUAUUUAAUUGUUCGUGUAACAUUCACAAAUUUCCAAAUUAUAGAUGUUAAAUAUUCAACAAGGACUCUUGAAGAAAAAAAAGGGUAGCGGCAAUAUGUGAAGGUCUCGUUGGAUUCCUAAUGGACGAGGUGGUAAAUCCACAGGGAGAAUUUUAUUACGAUGGACGACAAUUAGACGCUCCGAGCAACACCUCGACGGGAAGAUUGUAGAUAUAUAGUUUGAUUUGUAUACAUAACACGCGCUAAGAUCGAUUUGUAUAUAUAGGUGAUUUCAUUAUACUAGUUGAAUUGUGUAUAUGAAUUGCGUAUAUAUAGUAAUUGUAUAAUUACAAAUUUCAUUCGUUUAAAUACUAGUUGAUUUCAUUAUAAAAAAAGUCUCAACUACUAAAGGUUAACAAAAGGGCCGCGGUACUACGUACGUGAUGCAUGAAAAUUUAAGAUGCCAUGCAGGAAAAUUUAAAUAGGACUUUAGUCCCGGUUGGGAAACCCAACCGGGACUAAAGGGGCACCCUUUACUCCCGGUUGCUUUUCCCAACCGGGAGUAAAGGGCCUGUCCCGCGCCAACCGGGACUAAAGGGUGACCUUUACUCCCGGUUGAAGGACCCGGGACUAAAGACCCCCCCUUUUGUCCCGGUUGGUUUAUCCCGGAUGGAUUUUCGAGAGAUAUGCACCCUACCAACCGGGACUAAAGGCGAGUUCUCUACUAGUGUAGGCCAUGCAGCCGGCUCUGUGGUACCAAAAAGAAAUUUUUGACAUGGUUUACAUCGAGAACGUUUUGAAACUAGACUUUGGUACGCAGUUCACCUUCUUAACAAUAACGGCGUACAUAGACGCUAUCUAAAUUGACCACUUUAAGAUUUAGCGAGAGAUCUAUUUUUUUAAUCCCGUAGCGAGAUCUAUUUUUAUAAUCGCGUAGCGACUGUACGAAGGACUGAAAAAUAAGUUUGAUUACCGUAUAUAGUUAGCCAACUCGUUAAUGGAAUAAACGAUAGAGUUCUGCGAGGCAGACUAGCCUUUCACACGCACCAACUGAACCAGCUGGCAUGAUGUAUUUGAUCUUACUCCCUUGGUCCCAUGGAAAGGUAGAAAUAACCAUAUAUAGGCAUGUAAUUAUCAGUUAUACUUAUGGGAUACUUAGAUGACUUGAUGUAUGAAUCAAGAAAAUGCAUCGAUCGAGAACUUACGGGGAUCAUCUCAAUAAUUUAGAGACCAUGCGCAUAUAUAUUGUGGAAGGUGUGCGUGAGGGUCGUUAUCUAUAUCCUGUGUUAGAAAAAGAUUGCAUAUAUAGUUAAUGUUUGUCUUUCUUCGGAUGGCACGUUAGCUGACCAUUGACAACAUGUGAUGAUUUUACUAACAUCAAAAUUAGGCAUGCCCCAUUUUUUAAUUGGUGCAUGGAGUGGGAGGUUUUGGUGGGUGAGCAUUGGUGUGCAACUCGUGUGCGUGAGCAUGUGUGCGUAAGAUAAUGUGUUUUGUUAGAAAAAGAAGAUAAUGCCUCUAAACAAUCCAGAAUAGAAGGCGGGCCCUGACGACAAGAUAAUACCUUACGCGGCGAUGUCUCAACGUGUCACCUGGGGCGGCUUUUGCAGUUUCCCCGUACACACACUAAGAGCCUCCGACCCUUUUUUGUCAAACCUUCUCUUGUAGUCAUGCAUAUAUCCAUGAUGAUUUGAGUCUACUGAUUGACAGUUAGAUAUUUUGCUUGUUUGUGAGAAUUUUUAGUUUCUAUUUUUUUAGAGUGUCCACCUAGGAUCCUAGGUGGCUUCACCUGAAAGCUUCAAAAGAAGCGUCCAAAUUAGUAAUCAUAAGAUUUUCUCAAAAGAGACUUAAUUCUACCACUAUACCUUGAUUGGCGGCCCGAGCCUCUACCUUUGUCUCCACUUGACUAUUUGAGUUGGCUCAGAACGGUUCACCGCGCUAGCAACGUUACGUUUGAUCCCAAUGCCACCACUCAUGUGCGCCACCUGUAUUCUACCAAGUGGCAUGUGGUAAUGCCAUGUUUGUUUUAAUUUCGUCCAUCAGCAUUCACAAUGAUAUCAUCACCAUUAUGUAAUUAUCCCACUUUUAAUUUUCUUGCAACUCUGUGAAGUUAACAGUCUCUGAUCAAGUUUCCGAGGAUUGCUAUAUCUUUGUUUAUUAUCUACGGAAGUUGACAGCACAUCCACCAUAAUUCAUGGCCCACCAGACUCUAAGUCCACUGCGAGUAUAUAUUAAUUUGUUUUAAUCCGACUAUACUAGAUGUGUACCAAUCAUUCGAUAUGAGGGACGAACUAAUUGUUUCUUGUCGACUAUUGCACCGUACCUCUCGUUUUCCAAACAAUUAAAAGGUACCCUUCCGUGAUGGUUGUACCGAUACCGACUAUCUAUAUUAUUGCUUUCUUGAGCAUACCAAACGAGUUAAUUGGUAUGAUGAUGUUAUAGCUCAUUUAUAUAUGCUUAAAUACAUACACCGGUAGAAAACUCGCCUUUAGUCUCGGUUGGUACGUGUUAGACACCUAAUCCUUGCAUUGAUGGCUAAUCCUUCCAGCUUUUGUCUUCACGCACGCAUGCAUUGAUAGCCUCCUGCGGAUGGCCUUUCAGCUACUGCGCCGUUCAACUUCUGUGGCCUGUCCGGCUUCUUCCUUUCCCCAUAUAAUGUAAUACGUUCAACUCAAAUGAAUGAAAUCAAAUUAUGCGUGUAUUAUUCUCGCUUUCAGUAGGGGCCAAAUCUCCCGAAAAUCCAUCCGGGAUAAAGAUGAGAAAUUAAUCCAUGCGUGGCUUCAUGCAAAUUUGUUCAGAUCAGGUUUGAACAGCAUGUAAUCUUUUUCAGGCAUCUAUAUGGAGCGUGGGGGUGUUAUGUUAUCUUCUACUACACAUAUAACAUUAAAUUCAUUCAGUUUGGCUGAGAGCCCAAAAUGCAACGAAUAUGCCAUCCAACGUGAAAAAAAGAUGUGGAACAGUAUACUCUAUCUUCGAAAUUAAUUAACGAGAUUCAGCUUCAAAAGAGAUAAGAGCAGACAAGAGGCACAUGGGUGCAUGCAUCCACACCUUGGGAUGCUGCAAAAUUUGGGAUCACGUGUGCGGAUCCCUAAUUAGGAAAAAAGAAUAAUUGUGCUAGCAAAAUGUGGAACACGACUGCCGGCCCAGUUGGCGCUAAGACAUCGUACGUGCAUUAAGUCUGAGGUGCCCAACGAUCUCUUUCUUUAACUCAUGCUUGACUGUGACGGUGCUAUUAUAUAAUAUUGCAUGAUCAUCAUGAUAAGAUCGUAUAGUGACUGAGUGAGACAUGUACUAUAACUUACAUUUAAGCCUCGAACUGUGUGUCGUUACGUGAGCUGCCUCCUCUCCUCGCCUCUGAAUUAUUGAACCGUUUCCAACAGUGUUGGUCUCGACGAAAUUUGACACCAACCAGAUUUAUGAAGAAAAGAGAAUAAUACUUGGAAUUGGGAAAAGUUGAUCUCUCUUUACAAUGGGUAGGUGCUCCCCUUUUAUAGUGACCCAUGAGCCACUUUACAUUCCGAAAAUAUCCUUUCUCAACCACUACAUUCCUAGGAUAUGCCGUACAAAUUGAACUCUUCCACGUGGUCACAUUUCUCACGCCUCCUGUUUUCCAACCUCGAGACUUCAUCUUCACGCCAAGUUGAUCAUCUAGCCUCGAGGCUCCAUCCACGAUCCGGAAUGAAGGUCCAGCCUCGAGGCUCCUGCUUGUUAGAAGAACCGUCGUAUGAGACGAGGAUUGUAUCUUAGAGAUAAGAGUUGUUAUGGUUUGAGUUGGCCGGCUAGUAGAUAGAGAUAGAAUCUUGAUGUAUUUGAAUGCUGGCUAAACUUUAUCUAUAACAACAUGCAUUGUAAUCUGUUGGGACUUUCCCCCUAUAUAAACAUGCAACCACGGCGAGCCAAGAUAGGGCAACCGUGUUCAACUCUUUUGACAUGGUAAUCAGAGCCCUUCUUCCAUAAAAUACAUCUACAUCUACACCACCUGGCGCACGCCACCUUGUUGCCUGGCACACGUCAUCACCUUGCAUGCAACAGUCAUGGUGUCAUCAUCGUCAUCGUCAGCCACUGCACCCACGGCGGCGCAGCUUGGAGCUCCUGUAGCUGAAAAGCUUACAGGGGAGAAUUAUGUCUUAUGGAGGGCUCAAUUCUUGCCUGCUGUGCGGGGCGCGCAGCUCAUGGGAGUCCUCAACGGAUCUGUCAAGGAGCCCGGCCAAGACCAUGGAACUGGUGAAGGCUGACGGCAAGAAAGGGUAGCAUGACUUCAUCAACUUACUACACCAAGAUGGUGGCUAUCAAAGAUGAGUUGGCGGCAGUAGAAGUCAUUAUUGACGAUGGUGAGAUGGCAUCUUACAUACUUAAUGGUCUUGAUUUCGAAUAUAAUCCGUUUGUGUCCUCGAUGCUUGGCUGUGCUGAUUCCCUCUCUCUUUCCGAUCUAUACUCUCAUCUGUUGUUUUAUGAGAUGCGCCUGGAAGCAUAUAAUGAAGCGGGACAAUAUACAUCUUGGGCAAACUCAUCUUCUCGUGGAGGAUUUCGGGGACACGGCAAUGGCGGUCGUGGCAAUGGAGGGCGCAAUUGAGGGCGCACCAACGGUGGCCGUGGCCAGAACCGUGGUGGCCAGAACAACAGCAACAGUAGCAGUCAGCCCAAGAAAGUAAUCUGUCAAAUCUGCAAGAAUGUAUGUCCAUGAAGCACCAAGAUUCUGGUAUAGAUACGACGAAGAUGAGCAAGAAAAGGUUGCCGGCACAACAGCUACAAGCUAUGGUUAUGAUACUAACUGGUAUACAGACAGUGGCGCAACCGACCACAUUACUGGCGAGCUUGACAAGUUGACCGUCAAGGACAAGUAUAAUGGUCGAGAUCAAGUACAGGCUGCUAACGGUCCAGGUAUGAAAAUUAGUAAUAUUGAUCAUUCAACUUUACAUAUGCUGGGUAGAAAAUUGCAUCUAAACAAUAUCCUUCAUGUUCCUAUUGCUCACAAAAAUCUUGUUUCCAUCCAUAAAUUAGCUUCCGAUAACAAUGCCUUCCAUGAAUUUCAUCCAAAAUUCUUUUUCAUUAAGGCCCUAUUUGGCAUGGCUCCAACUCUAGGUGGAGCUACUCUACUCCAAAAAUCCAGGUGGAGCCAGCUUUGGGUGGAGUUGGAACUGUCUAGAUGGGGUGUUUGGCUAGAAGAGUGCAUCAGCUCCAAAAAAGACCGAUCUCAGUGUGGAUUGCCAUUGUUGCCCCAAAUUCAAGCCCCACUUUUCAUCCUCUAUAUCCCCAUCUUCUUCUUCCUCAGAAGGCGUGGAUGCAUGGAGAGAAAUCAAAUCGACUCGGCAUUAGAGCGGCGAGAUUUGGACGCGAUCGAUCAAAAUCAAUCGAUUAAAAAAAAAUCUCUCACCGCCACCAGGCUUGGGCGGCGCUGCGAAUGAUAGAGUGGCCGAGGCCACGGGCGCUGGGGAGUACGCGGCAGGCGCCUGCACCAUCGGCAGCAGCGUCAUGUUGGACACCUUGGCCGGCGCGUCCGGGUCCUCCGCGUCAGCAUCGUCAUUCUUGCCGGCUGCCGUCACCGCAUGCCGAUGCCCCAGCCUCUCAGCACCGACACGUCGUCGACUCCACUUCCUGGAAUGCCAUGCCCCCGGCCACGAUCGCCGCGCGCCAAAGUGAUCGUGGCUUUUCUAACAACCAUAUCGUAAUCAUAGGAUCUUCUCAGCGCAAAACUGUGCAGCUCCUUGCCUUUCUUUAGCAGAGCAAGUCCUGCACAAGCCCGCAGCAAGACCAACAUGCACUACUAGAGAAUUGACUUUCAAUCCCCCCCUUUUAGUCUCAAUUUAAUGUAGGCCCGAGAGAAAAGGGGGUGCGCUACGGUAGGCUGGAAUGGGGCGCACCUUUAGUCCCGGUUCAUGUUUAAAACCGGUACUAAAGCCCCCCUUUUGUCCUGAUUUGAGCGGCUAGAUUUUUGCCACCGACAGUGCCCCCCCUUUUGUCCCGGUUGGAGCCACCAACUGGGACAAAAACCUCGCCCUUUUUUUCUGGUUGGCAUUACCAACCGGGAUAAAAAGUUUACUCCUGGUUGGUAACUCAAACCGGGACAAAAGGUUGGCAUUUUCAUCCCGGUUGGAGCCACCAACCGGGAGUAAACACGAACCGGGACAAAAGAGCCAUACUUUUGUCCCGGUUUGGUUUACCAACCGGGAGAAAAUCUUUUCCCCCUUAAAGCUGCUUUCUUCCUCCUCCACUCGUCCAGCCCGAGCCACUCCACUCCACAAAGAUAGAGAAGCUCCAUCCUCUCCAUGGCGCCGAAGCAAGCCUAGGGGAGGUGCUGCCGAAUUUUUUUUCCUCAUUUUGUUGGGGACUUCACUCAUCCAAAGUGUUGUGAAGGUUAGCUACUUCAUUCUCUAUUCAUUUAUUAUUGUUAUGCUUUGUUUUAUACUUUAGAGUGGGAGAAGAAUGAGUUUGCUUGUUAGAAAGAGGGAGAAUGGAGAGGAUUUGUAUUUAUACAUGUUUUUGAGAUACAAUGUGAUGGAUAAUUUGAAUGUGAGGGAGAAUGGAGAGUAAAUGUGAGGUAGAAUGGAGAGGAUUUCAAUUUUAAGUAUUCGGAAAAACUAGAGUAAAUGUGUUUUUAAUCUUUAUACAUUAGCCAUAAAAUUAAGGUAAAUAAAUUGUAGGUGUAAUUUCAUAGUUUAGUACUUUUUAGAUAGAGUUAUGUAAUUAGCCAUUUUUAGAAUAUGUAAAUUAUGUGGGAAAUAUUGAAUUUUUUUAAUAGUUUAGUUAUUUGCAAAUAUGAGCUAAAUAAUUUGUGGUACAUAGAGAUGGCUUCUGCUGCUGGAGGUAGUGGCGAUGGUGGGGGAGAUCUUCAUUCCUCUUGCGGCAAGGGGAAAACUGUAGUUGGCCCUCACGAUAAGCCGAAGAAAAUGAGCGCGUGGGAGAAAGCAGUGCUUCGUUAUUUGCGAAGAUGUCAUGAAGAUGCUAUUGCGGCGGGUCAGGAACCUCCUUUUGGUGGUCGUUAUGCUCCACCGCCAUUCCCGGGUGUUUUAGGUCCACUUAUUAGUACUACUGUUGCAGGAGGUAUAGAUAAACCAUAUGAUAAGGCUGCGUCAGCGAAACCUUCAUCUUCGCCGCCCAAGGAUGCUUGAAAUCCUUCUAGAUAGUACUAAGUGGAUGGUUUGUCGUAGUGUAUCAUGUUGUUGUUGCUCUCAAAUUUAAAUUUGUGUAUUUCUACGUAAACUUUCAGCAACAUUUGAGUUUGUUGUAGUGUAUCAUGUUGUUUGGGUCUGAAAUUUUAAUGUGUAUUUCUAUCUAAAAUUUCAGCAAUGUGAUGGAUAGUUUGAUUGUAAUCCAUUUUAUUGACGGCUUGCGUAAUACGAUGCAGAUGGACCGGCAAUGGAUGUAUAAUGCAGACAGACGAACCAAGGUGUUUAUUGAUGGCUUGCAUAAUUUUCUCGAAGUGGCCAAAGCGAACAAGCUAGAGAACGGGUUCAUAUGUUGUCCAUGCACCCAAUGCGGUAACAACAAGGACUAUUCAAAGGCUGUCUAGGGGACUAUUCCCAGCCACUUGUUUAGAUACGGUUUCACACCUAACUAUUUGGUUUGGACCAAGCACGGUGAAAGAGGGGUUGUAAUGGAAGACGACGAAGAGGAGGAGGAUGAUGACAACAUUCCGGACUGGGGUGCAGGUCAAGCUUUUGCAGAUACUACAAUGGGCGAGGCUGAUGAAGAUGAGUUUGCAAAAGAUGGCCCUACUGAUGACCUCGGUCAGGUGCUAAGGGAUGCACCCAGAGAUUGCGAAACUGACAAGAAAGAAGCAAAGUUGCAGCGCGUGAUAGAUGAUCACCUAAAAUUGUUGUACGCAGAUUGCCAACAGGACCAUAAAAAACUGGGUACCACACUAGAAUUUAUGCAAUGGAAGGCUAAAAAUGGUGUGUCCCAUAAAGCAUUUUAGGGGAUGUUGGAAAUUGUCAAGAAGAUUUUUCCCGAGAAUAAUGAAUUGCCAUCCACAACAUAUGAAGCUAAACGGAUUGUUUUCCCUCUUUGAUUGGAGGUUCAGAAGAUACAUGCAUGCCCUAAUGAUUGUAUCCUCUAUCGCAGUGCUGAAUAUGAGGAUCUGGAUGCUUGCCCUGUGUGCGAAGCACUGUGGUAUAAGAUCAGGCGAGAUGAUCCUGGUAAUGUCGAGGGGCAACAUCCCAGGAAGAGAGUUGCCACGAAAGUGCUAUGGUAUUUCCCAGGAAGAGAGUUCCCACAUUUUGUACAAUAUUCUAUAUCACGAAUAUUUCAUAACUUGUUUGUUUCCCCACUGAAGUGCUUAAGACAGGAACACGGGAACGAUCUAUGUGGCUACUAUGUCUGUGAAAACAUGGAAAGUUUUGUAGACUUGGUCACAUACACUUGGUCCCACCCGUGAUACGAGCAGCCCAACAGCACAGUGUUCCAUGUCAGCAAGCUGGGCUCUAGCCCCGAUCUUGCCAUGCGCUUCGCGAGCUCCAGUGCGUUGUCGACAAGCCUGAGCCGCGUGCAGCACAUGAGCACCGCGUUCCACAUGACCGCCGUGGCCUCCGUCGUCUCAGCACCCAUGUGGCCACAGCGACGUCCGCGUUCUCGACGUACAUGGUGGCGAGGAACCCAGGAACGAGCGGGUGCGCGUCUACGUGGUGGGGAGCGUGGCAGUGGCAGCUUUGCUCGAUCUGGCAGCCGGAGAGUGGGACGAGACCACCACGGGGGAGACGGUCGGUGGUGGUGGCGGUGGCAAUGGGAGGAAGGCCUUGGAGAUCAAGGGAUCCAAGGUCCCCUUCCAAGAGAGAAGGGAGAUCGGGGGAGGAGACCGAUGGAGGGGAGGCGGGAGGGAGGAUGGUCGGCAGCGGGGGUAAGGAGAAAGAACAGGCGCGCGGGAGGGAGUCACGGUGCCGGAGACUCGGGAGAAAAGAAGCGAAUCAUUUUUGUGUAACUAGUGGUAUUGGUAGGUAAUUACCCACCAACUCCACGAGGAGGUUCAUAUUGGGUAGUUUUGGAGUUGCAAAAGAGGUGCUCCAAAACUCCACCCCCAUUUGCACUACAGCUCCAUGGAGUUUUGGAGUUGGGGUGUGUUGGCUGUAAAAUUGGCUAGAGUUGCUGGAGGUCAGCUCCAGAGCCAUGCCAAACACGCCCUAAGGAUCAGGAAACGAGGAAAAUCCUUCAUCAAGGUAGAUGCAAAGCAGGCCUUUAUCCAUUAGAAUCCAUCUUGUCAGAAGAAGGCGAUGACAAGAGAGUUUAUGGUGCCAUCAAACCAUCUGCUUCUAGAUGGCAUAGCCGCUUAGGCCAUCCAGCUUAUCCUAUUAUUCAGCGUGUGCUUAAUCAUAAUAAUCUUCCUUGUGGUAGUACUAAUUUUGAGUCAGUUUGUGAUUCAUGUCAAAUGGCUAAAAGCCAUCAACUUCCAUAUUCUAGUUCAAUAAAUUCGUCAAAAGCUUCGCUUGAUCUUAUUCAUUCUGAUGUUUGGGGGCUUACACCUAAUUCUGUUGGUCGAUAUUCCUACUAUGUGAGCUUUAUUGAUGAUUAUAGUAGGUUCACCUAGAUUUAUCUCCCGAAAAAGAAAUUUGAUGUCUUUCAAGUGUUCAAAGAAUUUCAGAAUCUAGUGGAGCGAAAACACAAUAAGAAAACUGUAUCCAUGCAAACCAACUGGGGAGGCGAAUAUGAGAAGUUGAAUUCCUUCUUUCAGCAAAUUGGUAUAGCACAUCGCGUCUUAUGUCCUCAUGCCCACCAGCAAAAUGGCCUCGUCGAGAGAAAGCAUCGUCAUACUGUUGAAGUUGGUCUCGCUCUUCUCGCAAAUGCUUCAAUGCCUUUAAAAUUUUGGGAUCAAGCUUUUUUGACCGCCACUUAUCUCAUUAAUAUGCUUCCCAGUAAAAUUCUUAAUUUCGAUACUCCUAUAGAACACUUGCUCCAAGAAAAGCCUGAUUACAGCUCUCGUCGCAUUUUUGGGUGCGCUUGUUGGCCUAAUUUGCAACCCUAUAAUACUCGCAAGCUAGCUUUUCGUUCUGUUAAAUGCACCUUUCCUAGUUACAGUUUCAUGCAUAAAGGCUUCAAGUGCUUAGAUCCCUCUACCGGCAGAAUUUAUAUCUCCCGAGAUGUUGUUUUCGAUGAAUCGAUCUUUCCGUUUGCUCACUUACAUCCCAAUGCAGGCGCCCUUCUCAGUAAAGAGAUUCUUCUUUUACCUGACCAUCUUCGUAAUCCGGGGGAUGUAAGUUGCAUAGACAAUAUUACUAUACUACUGACCGUUUGCAUGAUAGUAAUGCGCAAGAUGUUUUUCAGGGGAAACUGUCACCGGGCUGGGCGCACGGUGACGCAGAAAAUCACGGCGGCACAUUCCAGGAGGAUUUGAUGCCAGGUGCCGACGGUCCAGGCGUUGACUCCCAGGGAGAUUCGGCGGCAGCAUCCGUUUUGCUCCCCUCCUUCCCAGCAGUGCCCAUGUCGUCGAAUACAUCUCCGACGCGUGGCUCCACGACAUGCCCAGCGCCCGCACCCGGCGCUCCUCCGUCGCCGCAUGGCCCCGCACUUGGCCAAUCGCCUGCGCCAGCCGCCGGGAGUCCGACGCGUGGGGGGGGACCCAUCUAUCACGCCAGACAGUCUCCCACCCGUGCCUGCUGCCCCGAGUCGUGCUAGCGCUGGAUCCUCUUCGGGAAGCGGAUCCGGUGUGGAAUCUAUGCCUGGUCAGGCCAGUUCUUUGGCGCUGGCUGCCCCUGCGCCGUCUAUUUCAGUGCCAAGACAACGGACACGGCUUCAAAGUGGGAUUACGAAACUUACAUAGUUCCAGGACAUGAUCAGGUAUGGGUUGUUCUUAGCUUCUGCGGAACCACAGGAUUUUCAUGAAACUCUAAAUGAUUAUAGAUGGAAAAAAGGCUAUGCAAGAUGAAUUUGAUGCUCUCAUUAGAAAUCAAACUUGGCACUUAGUUCCUGAAAUAAAGGGUAACAAUAUUAUUGAUUGCAAGUGGGUAUUCAAAAUCAAGAAAAAAUCAGAUGGUACCAUAGAUAGAUAUAAAGCAAGGCUAGUUGUAAAGGGUUUUCAGCAACGGUAUGGCAUUGAUUAUGAGGAUACUUUCAGUCCAGUGGUUAAGAUUGCAACUGUCAGGCUUGUCCUCUCAAUUGCUAUUUCGAAAGGGUGGUGUCCAAGAUAGUUAGAUGUAUAGAAUGUGUUUCUUCAUGGUGUUCUGGAAAAAGAAGUUUAUAUGAGGCAACCUGCAGGAUUUGAAAAAGGAGCUUUGCAUCUUGUGUGGAAAUUGGACAAGGCUAUCUACGGCUUGAAACAAGCCCCGCGAGCUUGGUAUGCUAAGUUAUGUUCCAAACUUAUUGCACUUGGAUUUGUUGCAUCUAUAUCAGACACUUCGUUAUUCAUCUAUCAAAGAUUGGGUGUCAUAAUUUAUAUGUUGAUUUAUGUUGAUGAUACAAUUGUGACAAGUUCAUCAAGUGAAGCUGUUACGACGUUGCUUGCUGAUCUCAAGAAGGAUUUUGCUCUAAAAGAUCUGGGGGACCUCAGUUACUUCCUGGGUAUUUAAAUUAAAAGAGAAAAGAAUACUCUGCUGCUAACACAAGAAAAGUAUGCAAAGGAGAUUUUGUCACGGGUUGGUAUGGAGAAUUGCAAACCAUCAUCUACACCAUUGUCUACUAGUGAGAAACUUUCAAAGUAUGAAGGGGAGUUGCUGAAUUCAAGCGAUAGUACGAGGUACAGAAGCGUCGUUGGUGCAUUGCAAUAUCUCACUCCUACCUGACCGGAUCUAGCAUUCUCUGUGAACAAAGUGUGUCAAUUUCUACAUGCUCCUACCACGGUUCAUUGGACUGCUGUAAAAAGGAUACUUCGGUAUGUCAAGUUCACAUUGGAUCUUGGACUAAAUUUUCAGGCGUCAUCCUCCACCUUGGUUAUUGCUUUCUGUGAUGCUGAUUGGGCAGGAAGUGUUGAUGAUAGAAGAUCUAUCGGAGGGUUUGCAGUUUUCUUUGGUCUGAACUUGAUUUCUUAGAGUGCUAGAAACCAAGCCACUAUCUCAAGAUCAAGUACAGAAGUUGAAUACAAGUCUAUGGCAAAUGCAACUGCAGAGUUAAUAUGGUUGGAAUCCUUGCUAAAGGAGCUGGGUAUACGGCUGCAUCAACCACCAUAUUUACAGUGUGACAAUUUGGGAGCUACAUAUUUGUCUGCCAAUCCAGUCUUUCAUGCGAGAGCAAAGCAUAUAGAAAUUGAUUUUCACUUUGUUCGCGAGCGUGUGGUAAAUAAAAAGCUGCAGGUGCUGUUGGUUGCUUCCAGAGACCAGCUUGCGGACUGUUUACCAAAGCCUUGCCGUGCGGAUUGCUGGAAGCUUUCAAGAGCAAUCUAAAUAUCAAAAGGAAGAGAAGUUUAGAUUGAGAGGGACUGUUAGAAGAACCGUCGUAUGAGACGAGGAUUGUAUCUUAGAGAUAAGAGUUGUUGGUUUGAGUUGGCCGGCUAGUAGAUAGACAUAGAAUCUUGAUGUAUUUGAAUGCUGGUUAACUCUAUCUGUAACAACAUGCAUUGUAAUCUCUUGGGACCUUCCCCCUAUAUAAACGUGCAACCACGGCGAGCCAAGAUAGGGCAACCGUGUUCAACUCUUUUGACACUGCUUCGUUAAGCUUUGUUGAGAACUCAUAAACUCACAUAGUUCUCCUCUGAGUAUUGUUCCUAACUAAAGAGUAAAAAGGUAAAAGCUCGGUGCCCGGAACCGACUCAGAACACUCGAGGCUUAACUUAGUUGGAGUUUAGCUAUUACCGUUGCCAGUGACCAGCCUCGAGCCCCUCUAGAAGCAAGGUGAUGUGAGGGUGCGAGUUUUACUAUAAGAGGUGUCCCCAUAGAACGUGCGAGGUUAAAGGUGUUCUGUUACUUUUCCUGCCGACGCAUAACUUGCAAGGUUAAGGGGUUUUUAUCCCACAAACGGUGCUCCAGGAUGUUCAGAUUUUUGGGAUCCCCAACAAACAUAAAUCUUGAGUGGCUCUAAAUUGUUGUUGGCCACAUCAUACCUUGUCUUGGGCUGCUGGGUCGUGUUGUGCACCACGAGUGCACGAUCAGACAUCCUGCAUUGUUAAGUCUUCGAUGAUACGGCUGCCUUGCUUCCUCAGCUUGUCAGCAACUGCUUCCUGACUGCUACAGUACAAUUAUUGCAUGGUAUCAAGGUAAUAUAUAUAGUGACUGAAUGAGCACAUAUAACAUAUGCAUUUAGGCCUCCAACUGGUCAUUGCACGAGCUGCCUCCUCUCCUUACCUCUGAAUUAUGGAGCCAUAUCCAACAACAACCUUGACAGUGAUGAUGAUGACGACGACGAUGAAAUUAAGAAAAGAAGCUUUAUGCAAAUUGCAAAAAGCUGAAAUAAGUGGUUGAAACAUUUCAAAUCACCAAAUGCCACAUUUGAAAUGACUAGAUGAAACAUCAUGAAAUCAAUUGCAACAGUUGAAGAUGAAAACAUUCAAACGCCUUGCCUUUCUCCAGAUUUGAUCCUCCAAGCAUAUAUGAGUCCAGACAUUUGCACAUUAGACCCUAGGGAGGAGCUCACCGGAGAACAACAAGACCGUGUUCUCCAACAAUUUUCCGAUCAAAUUGCAACAUAAAAAACAAAGCAUUGCAACACAUCUGGCAUCGCGAGCAACAACAUCAACCAGUUAGGAUCAGGAGAAAGAGGGCAAACCCAAGCCUAGCAAUGAGUUAUAUCCAGUUUAAACGAGGAUAAAAAUGAGUGUAUUUUCCACUCAUCAUGUUGUCUUUUCGCAGCUGUACCGCCUUUAGUGUGUUGUAUUGUUCCCCUAACACCAAGUCUCCGAGGCCCGAGAAAAUAAGGAAAGUGAUAGCAGCCCAGAAAUCGACCAAGUUUCUUUCCCCCUUUGGCAUUCCUACUAGAAUUCGGAAUACUCUUUCGCAUGACAAUCAUAAUUAUCUCCCACAAUCCAAAACUCACAAAAACAUCAAAAAUCUGCCGAGAAUAAAUUAAGUAAAAAACAUGCACAAACAGAUAAUAAUAAUAAUCAUGUUUCAAUAAAAUUGCUAAGGCCAGAGACAAUACAUAAACAUAUUAGACUGUUCAUGACACAUAUCACGGUGGACAGUGUCUGUGUCCUUAUUACAAGCAGCGAGAGGAAUUAAAUAUGCUUGUCACCACACACACGCGCGCGCAGAUGCACGACACACAUAUAGUUGAGACCAACAGAUGGACCUCGACUAGAGGUCGCCCCAUAUGGUGAACAAUUUAUUGGAGAUAAACAUGAACAUAACUUGGCCAUAGCUUGAAGCAUAGCAACAUAUGCCUAUGAAUGGCAUUCAUGCUGGUAGCAAUGCAAUCAUAUCGUUUUAGGCUUGUCCAGCUUCUUCCAUCUUAGCAAGCACUGCCAUUUCUUCCAUCUUAGCAGCAACUGUCAAAUUGAGAUAUGGAAAUCCCAUUAGCGCAUGAGUUAAUUUUGCAGUGGAAAUAGAGUACAAGAUGUCUUCAUGAUGUAAGUAAUAUGCCUGAAGUUGUGAGAUGGGAAGUGAAGUCAACAAAUUACAUUAACGGAAAUGCAUGGAAGGCCACACAUACGUAUUAGUCCACGAUAUGCUACAAAGCUUGUAUGUACAUAUAACAAAUUAAAUGCAUUGAAUAGAGUGAGUUUACUGAAUUUACCAGAAUCGGACAGAACACAUGGGAAACAGCAAGUGUUCUUGCAGAGUGAGUCGGAGCCACCUGCAGUAAUACAAGCAAAACAACAUGCUUUUGCCCGGGCGGAUACGCAGCAGCUGCACUGUGCCGCGGUGGCCGGGUUAACAUUGAGGCUCAAGAUGACCAGGCACAUGAUCACCAUCAAAGCGGUAGUCCUCUUUCCCUCCAUUGCCUCCUCUUUCUGCUACCUUCCUUGGUUACCUAGCUAAGUUUAUUAGUUUUGUGUUGAGAGGUGAUUCUUGAAUGGACGUUGCCGGCUGCAAUUUAUAGGCAGCUGCGCUAUGUGAUGAUAUGGACAAGGUGCAAAUGGGUGGUCCAAUGGCAAGGAAAGGGGGUAUUCUGCUUGACAUUGGCAUCAGACAAAGCCCAAUGGCAACUGCUGACACGCGAUUAAAAUCAGAUCCGCAUCUUAUCCAUCCAUUCACUAAUAAUUAAAGUAAACCCACGCGGUCCGCGAGAUGCAGCGUCCAUGCAUAGCACUUCCCGCCAAACAAUAGGAAAAAUUAGAAUUCAGAGAUAGGAGCUGCUUGCAUGAAACACGGUUGCACAGAAAUCAGUGGUGCUUGGACGGUAAGUAGUGUGGUGUACAAGCUUAAAGCGGCAGUGAGUCACGUUGGUGUAACAAGCAGUACAUCAGCUGGAAGAUUGAUAUGUCUAUUGCCCACGCAGCAUAGCAUUUUAUUAUGAUACAUUGAGUUAUGUCAUAUUGUUACUUUAAGUUAUUUUUUAAGUAUUAGUUGUAGACAAUUUAGUUGCAAAUUUAAGCGGUUAUUUUAAAUUAUUUUUUAUAAUGGCAUAAGUGGGUAAUUUAGAUGAAGAUUAGGGGGUUACUUUAGCUUAUUUUAUAUAAUAGCAGAGGUGGGUAAUUUAGAUAUAAAUUUAGGGUUACUUUAGGCUAUUUUCUUAAUGGCAUAGGUGGGUAAUUUUUUUAGAAAUUAUAAUAGAUCCAAUGGCUACGAUGUUUGAGUCUACUCGUUGAUGGCAAGAUGUUUUGCUUGUUUGUGGAAAUUUUAAAUAUGUCUCUUUUUUGUAGAGUGUCCACGUAGGAUCCUAGGUGGCUUCGCUUGGAGGCUUCAAAAGGAGGUCCAAAAUUAGUAAUAGUAUGAUUUUCUCAAAAGAGACUUAAUUCUACCACUGUAACUUGAUUGGCCGCCCCGGCCUCUACCUUUUGCCUCCAUUUGACUAUUUGAGUUGGCUGUGAACGAUUCUCGGCGCUAGCAACGUUACGUGUGAUCCAAAUGCCAGCACUCAUGUGCGCCACCUGUAUUCUAUGGGAAUGCCAUGAUGCAUGUGCAGUAACAGCGCGCACAUCUUGCAGGAUUCGCGCCUCGUUUUCACUAUUGUGUCAUCUUAGCAAUUAGGAGCGAAGUGUGCUUUGGGGUGGCAAUUGGGAUAUAGACAUUAUUCUCGAAAAGAAUCUUGAAGUCUUACAUUCACCCCCUCCGGUCGCCGGUUCCGAUCCUUCACCUAUAAAUUAGGAGUAGUAGUAGGUAGUAAGUGGCAGGUUAGGUAAGUACCCGUUGAUGAAUGUUGGCUUGGCGUGAUUGGCUCUGCUGGUUCCACGAAGAUGCCAAUAUACAGCAAGGACCUAGGUCCAAAGGGAAAAACAACCAACAAGUGGGUUUGUUGCCGACCGCUAGCUAAUCAACAGUGACGUACGGGUGGAUUCGUGCGUAAAUAUUUUUUCAAUCAUGCCAUCAGGCCGCUGAUAAAAUGGGCUUAUGGUUGGCUAACCUUUAAAACAUUCUUAGAGCUGUUGGCCAUUGUGAUAACUUUGCACGUGCAUCAUUAACAUGCCAACAUACAACAAGGACAUAAGACCAAAGGAAAGAACAACCAACAAGUGCCUUUGCUGAUCGGUCAGGUCUCAGAGUUUGAGAAACUGGAUCUGACGGAUGUGAAAUUAAUCCAUGCGUGGCCUCAUGCAAAUUUGUUCACAGGUUUGAACAGCAUGUAAUCUUUUUCAGGCAUCUAUAUGGAGCGUGGGUGUGUUAUGUUAUCUUCUACUACACAUAUAACAUCAAAUUCAUUCAGUUUGCCCGAGAGCCCAAAAUGCAACGAAUAUGCCAUCCAACGUGAAAAAAAAGAGAUGAGGAACAGUAUACUCUAUCUUCGAAAUUAGUCAACGAGAUGCAGCUUCAAAAGAGAUAAGAGCAGACAAGAGACACCAUGGGAUGCUGCAAAAUUUGGGAUCACGUGUGCAGAUCCCUUAUUAGGAAAAAAGAAUAAUUGAGCUAGCAACAAUAGUAGGACAUCUCCAUGCUCACCUAGUAUAGUAGCCACUUCUAGUGCGCGUGGAACACGACUGCCGGCCCAGUUGGCGCUAAGACAUCGUACGUGCAUUAAGUCUGAGGUGCUAGGACAGCUUCCUCUUGCUUCCCCACCAAAUCAUGAGCAACGAUCUCUUUCUUUCUAACUCAUGCUUGACUGUGACGGUGCUAUUAUAUAUUAUUGCAUGAUCAUCAAGAUAAGAUCGUAUAGUGACUGAGUGAGACAUCUAUGUACUAACUUGCAUUUAAGCCUCGAACUGUGUGUCAUUACGUGAGCUGCCUCCUGUCCUCGCCUCUGAAUUAUUGAACCGUUCCCAACAGCUUGGUCUCAAAGGAAUUUGACACCAAACAGAUUGAUAAAGAAAAGAGAAUAAUACUUGGAAUUGGAAAAAGUUGAUCUCUCUAUACAAUGAGGUAGGGCUCCCCUUUUAUAGUGACCCAUCAGCCACUUUACAUUCCGAAAAUGUCCUUCCUCAACCACUACAUUCUUAGGAUAUGCCAUACAUAAAUGUCAUUUGAGGUGACGUGUACAAAUUGAACUCUUCCACAUGGUCACGUUUCUCACGCCUCUUGUUUUCCAACCUCGAGACUUCAUCUUCAUGCCAAGUUGAUCAUCUAGCCUCGAGGCUCCAUCUACGAUCCGGAAUGAACGUACAGCCUCGAGGCUCCUGCUUCGUUAAGCUUUGUUGAGAACUCAUAACCUCACAUAGUUCUCCUCCGAGUAUUGUAUCUGACUAAAGAGUAAAAAGGUAAAAGCUCGGUGCCCGGAACCGACUGAGAACACUCGAGGCUUAGCUCAGUUGGAGUUUAGCUAUUACCGUUGCCAGUCACCAGCCUCGAGCCCCUCCAGAAACAAGGUGAUGCGAGAGUACGAGUUUUACUAUUAGAGGUGUCCCCAUAGAACGUGCGAGGUUAAUGAGUUCAGUUUCUUUUACUGCCGACGCAUAACAUGCGAGGAUCAACGAAUAUGAGGAACACUAUAUGCCAUCCAACGGGGGAAAAAAAAAGAUGAGGAACAGUAUACUCUAUCUUCGAAAUUAGUUAUAAAGAUUCAGCUUCAAAAGAGAUAACGAGGCGUCCAAGACUCGAGGAGCCAGUCAAGAGCAGACAAGAGGCACAUGAGUGCAUGCAUCCACACCUUGGGAUGCUGCAAACUUUUAUGAGGCUGCAAGCUGCAUACAUAAGUUUAUUUCACCUUUGUUCACAAUACUCUUCACACACCAUUCACACACGUCUCAGGGAGCUCUGCAGCAAUGGUGGAGAUCUUAGCUAGACUGCUCACUUCCCUUGUUGUCGCUAUUGCUAAAAACACAAGCUCACCUCUGCUAUUGCGAAGCAGACCAAUUUGCUGUGGAACUUUGGCGACGACCUGAAGGACAUGAAGUCGGUGCUGGAGUCCAUCUCAGCAGCGCUCCAGGACGCUGACACUGCUAGAAAAACAACCUUUCAUCCUCAACAAAAGUCCCGAUAGCUUUUUUACCUGGAACUAAAGAGGUUUUAGUGCUGCGCAAACACCUUUAGUCCGGGUUGCUGUUACCAACCAAGAGUAAAGGGUACGAUGGCACCAACCGGGACUAAAGCACCCCCCACGAGUUACUAUAAAGGAUUGCAUCCUCCACUUAGUCAGAUUUACUGUGUAGGUGAGAUGGUAAGGAAGCUAUGCGCGAGGCUUGAGAUCAUCGGUUCGAAUCCCACGCACCGCGCGCGCACGCGCAUAGUUUGAGUGAAAAAUCAUGUCACUUGUGAUCGGCCAAGGAGAAGUGGGUGCAGAUGUGGCUUAAGCGGCUGAGGCACGCCGCCAUAGACAUCUUGGAUUUGCUCGAAGACUACCAAGACACUAGUGAACCCUUAACAGCAAAGGUGAGUACUUAUGCAUGUCAACAUCUAUGUUGUCCAUGCUUCCAAUGCAAUAAGAAGAAGGACUACUCUUCCUAGCGGACUCUUCACAACCACUCAUAAAGCUAUGUGUUUCUCAAUGCAAUUUCGUAGAAGGCAAUGGAUCCAACCAACCGACUAAAUCAUUCGUCCUUGCCAAUGAUGUGCUUCAGGUUUUCCAUAUGAAGGACAUGUGACUACUAGAAAAACGAUCUUUCAUCCCUAGCCUUAGUACCGGUUGCAUUUGGAACCGGUACUAAUGUUUACAUUAGUACCAGUUCCAAAGGAUACUGUCCGGAGCGCACCUCGAUGACCCCUUUAGUACCGGUUGGGGGCAACAACCGGUACUAAAGGGUGAGCAUUAGUACCGGUUGUUACCUUAAUCCGGUACUAAAGGGCUACCCACCCUCUAUUACCGGUUGGUGGCAUCAACCGGUACUAAAAGGGAUACCCUCUAGCACCGGUUGCUGCCACAACCCGGUACUAGUGCGGCGCCAUGCAGAAUAGAAGGUAGAUCGAUUGUACAUGGAGGGGGAACAAAGGGAGAAAGGCAAAUCAUCAGCUUAUUAUCACAUGGUAGACUAGUCUUUAAAACAUGUUUAGGGCAGAGCACAUUACGUUUAUCUUGUUUUGCACAACAACAAAUGUGACCUUUAGAAGAUAGCCCUCCUCUAAUUAAACUAGUGCACUAUUACAGGAUGGUAUCGCACGCUUCCUUUUUCCCUAUGAAAAUGAAGUUUUUAAUGAUCUGAUAGCAGCUGGCAAAACAAAUGAUUGCAAAGAUGUUUGCAGAUGAUAAUGAUACUUAUGACCACUCUGAUGAUGAAGAGAUAGAGGAACAUUUGGUCCGUCAACGUAUUUCAAAUUAACACGUCAAAUCGCACUCAAGACCUCUCACCAACUCCUCCACCAGUUUCCAAAGGCAAAUCAACUUAUUAUCGCAUGCAUGGUAGUGUCUUUGAAACAUGUUUAGGGCACAACACAUUACGUUUAUCAUCUUUUGCACAACAUUAAAUGGACCUUUGGAAGAUAGCCCUCCUCUAAACUUGUGAUGCAUUGUAAUGAUAUGUCAUGUAUAUAUGUCUCACUUGUAUCAUAGCUGUUAAAGUACCACGUCAAAUUGCACUUGCGGUGAGAUCUCUCUGACCAAGUCCUCCACCACUUUCCAAGGCAAAUCAGACAAACUCCUUGUUAUAUUCCACAUAUUGGUUUCAUCCUUAUAUAGAUGUCCAUGUAUACUCUUUUGUUUGUCUACUCAACUUAUCACAUUGUCGUAGUGUCUUUGAAACAUGUUUAGGGAAAGUCCAUAGUGGAGGGUAGUAAAUGUCAAAGGGAGUUUGUAAGGAUAAGACAACACAAAUUUUGUAAGGGUAUUCUAAAGCAUUUGAUUCUAAACUAUCCGCGAGACCUCUCACAACCUCCUCCACCACUUUCCAAGAUAAUAUACAAUCAAAUUCCUUGUAGGAGUUUGGAUGUUGGACCAAUGGGAAGUUGACGAAAGAGUGGGACAAAAAUGUGACUCGAUCAUGUCAUUGUGGGCAAAGGUCCUGGUAGCUCAUGGAACAGAUCAUUUGAAGUACACAGGAUAGGGAGGCAAUAGUCGGCACAAGGAGAGGCAUGACCAGAAGCUUGAAAGAAGUAAACUUCAAAGCUAGGAGGAAUGUUAUUCUUGCUGGUUCAAUGUGUCUUCUUAUAGAUCAGUUCAUAGAUCUUAUGUAUUUGGCUGUGAUGAAAGCUAUGGAGCCCUCCCAGCCCCUUCGAGCUGAUGCUAAGCCCAAUCUAAACUGCAUAUGGAAUGUGAAAACUCUUUCUGCAAUGAGCCAAGCUAUCAAUCCAUACCUGUGAGGCAACAUCUCGAUUCUGUGGCUACUGACUGAGGUAUUUGGCAUAGAGUAGACCAAUGGUGCAUUGUGAAUAAGCUUAUUAGAAUGUGAAUAAGUCAGAAUUCUUGCUCGUCCUCCAUUUGUUCGCUCUCUGUUCUUUUGUUUACAAGGGACUCGGUUGAUCCGCGGGACCUCUCACCAACUCCUUCACCACUUUCCAAGGCAAAUCAGCUUAUCACAUGUGGUAGUAUCUUUGAAACAUGUUUAGGGCACAAGAGGAAGGCAUAGUGCUGGAAAAACGGUUAAUGGGGUGGCGGACGGCGGGAUGCUUCGCAUUCUCGUAUGAAGGAAGCUCCAUCAACUAGAUUGACGGUCAAGUUGCAUGAAGCAGAUGCCACAGUCGACGGAGAGAGCAUCUGGGUCUAACCAUAAUAACACAAGUCUUUCCUUUAGAUAACAUGCCAUCAGAUUCCUUGCAAGAGUUUGUAUGUUCGACCAACAGGAAGUUGACGAAAGAGUGGGACAAAAAUGUGACUCGAUCAUGUCAUUGUGGGCAAAGGUCCUAGUAGCUCAUGGAAUAGAUGAUAUCAUUUGAAGUACAUAGGACAGAGAGGCCAUAGUCGGCACAAGGAGAAGCAUGACCAGAAACUUGAAAGAGGUAAGCUUCAAAGCUAGGAGGAAUGUUAUUCUUGCUAGUUCAAUGGUGUCUUCUUAUAUAUCAGUUCAUAGAUCUUAUAUAUUUGGCCGUGAUGACAGCUAUGGAUCCCUCCGAGCCCCUUUGAGCCGAUGCCAAGCCCAAUCUGAACUGCACAUGGAACGUGAAAACUCUUUCUGCAAUGAGCCAAGCUAUCAAUAUCCAUCCCUGUGAGCCAACAUCUUGAUUCUGUGGCUACUGACUGAGGUAUUUGUCGUAGUGUCUUUGAAACAAGUCAAACACCUCACCAGGGGAUCAAGCUCCACGAGAACGAGAGCUACUUUCAGAUCCAGGAUAUUAAUCAACAAGUCAAACACCUUCCCAGGGGAUCAAGCUCCAUGAGAACGAGAGCUACUUUCAGUUCCAAGAUAUUAAUCAACAAGUCAAACACCUAACCAGGGGAUCAAGCUCCACGAGAACGAGAGCUACUUUCAGUUCUAGGAUAUGGGCAUAGCUGUGAGGGGGGCCACAACGCCCCUUUAUAUAAGGGCUACUGGUUUUGCCCUUGCCUUGUGAAGUUGUGCCACAUAACUCCCAAAAUCCCUCAAGAAAGAUAACACCACAAGCAGGAAGCCAAGUAGCUAUGGAACCUGUGACAGAUAUAGCUUCCUCAUUAUGUGACUCAUGUCAUUGUGGGUGCGGGGUGACCUUGAUCUACAACUUUGUAGUUGAAACAUUUUUCAUUUGGUGUCAUCUUGGUGCUCAAAUAAUCGACACGAACUAAAACUUGGCACCACACAUUCAAAAAAUAAUAAAAUUUAUAUGAACUCAGAUAUAGAUAAAAUUUAUAUCAAAAUUGUUGAUCUCAACGAGAUUUACAACUUUGUAGUUCAAAUUAUUUUCAUUUGGAGCCAUCUUGGUGCUCAAAUAAUCGAAACAUUUUCUAGAUCUAAAAUUUAAUUUUAGAUCGGAAACUUGUGUCGAUUAUUUGAGCACCAAGAUAAUACCAAAUGAAAAAUGUUUGAACUACAAAGUUGUAGAUCUCAUCGAGAUCUACAAUUUUCAUAUAAAGUUUAUCUCCAUCCGAGUUCAUAUGAAUUAGUUCAACCGGCGAUAAGGCUGCUACAGUGUAGCUUCCGCCGUUUCAAAUGGCGGUAUAGGUUUAGAUUAGCAAUUUUUGUAACCCAUAUAUUUUUGCAAAAUACUAAAAUAAAAAAUAUAAAAAUAAAAAAAAUCUAGUUUUAAUCAGCAAUGACUAAAUGUUAGCCCGGUUAUGCCCCAUCUUAGGUCUAAUCAUGGACCAAUAAAACAUGUGCUAGAAUUCAUGGCCACCGGAUGCGUGUUCGACCAUGUAAUCGUAUGCUAUACCUCACAGGAGGUUGAAAAUGGCCUGAAGGGGUACAGUGGAUGAAAACGUCGGGGACGCUCGGAACACAAGAAAAUGACCACCAGAUACAUGUUUGGCCAUUGUAACUGUGCUCUAUAGUUGAUAGGUUGAAAGCGGCUCGAAGAGGCAUCAGGGAUGGAAACAUGGGGGAUGGUUGGAACACUUGAAAAUGGCACUGGAUAAGUGUGCUUAUUCCUUACAAAAUGCUGAAAAUGGCUCAGAAGGGUCAUCGAGGAUGGAAACUAGGUGGUCAAUAAGUGAAAAUGGGCAGCGGACAUGUUCAGUCAUGUAACCGUGUGCUAUAGUCCACUAGAGGUCGGAAAGCUGCCCUAGGGGCUCUAGAGACGAAAACGUGAGGAAUAGCUGAAAGGUUACGUGUUUGGUCAUGACAGCCCUAUUAGGAAGCGAUAGAAGUGGAAAGAUAGCUGGUUUCAGAUUGGCAACCCAUCUUUUGCUUCCCCCUUACUUCCAUACGUAAUCCAUGGGCAUCGAAUUUAAAAGUAUACAAAUCACUUUUAGAUGUAAUUGAGGGUAAAGAGGGGAGGUUUCGUGAGACUCUACAAUGUUCAAAUCGUUCGUUCGUUAGGAUGCCUCAGCUACAUACAUCAUUGCACUUCCAGUUGACACCAAUUUAAAUGGUUCGUCUAGCCGCUACAAGGUAUCAUCAGAUAUAGAAGAAUUAGAGACUGGGGGUAAUAGCAAAAAAGGAAUAUAACUCGUCCGAGAAAGUGGGUGCAGGGGCAGUGGGGUAAGGUAAUUGAAGUAACUAGCCAGUUUCUUCCCGAAACUUCCCAAGAAAAAUCCCGAAUUGGAUCCAAAAUUGACGGAUUAAUCAACCAAAAUAACCGUGAGCAGCCACAAUGUUAUAAGUCCCUUCUUCUUGACCAAAUUUGUAACCCUUAUUAGCAGACUCAUUUUCAGUGGUUUCUUUCCCUGAUCAAACUAGAGGUUACCAAGGAACCGUGUGCUCUAGCCCACAGGUGGCCGAAAACGGCGAAGAAGGGCUUCGGGGAUGGAAACAACGUGGAUGGUCAGAACACGUGAGAAUGACCACGGGAUGCAUGUUUGGCCCUGUAACAGUGUGCUAUAGGAAGCCGGAAAUGGCCAGGAGGGUCACCAGGGAUGAAGAUGCAGGGAUGGAUGGAACACGCGAAAAUGGCCACCAGUGAUUAGUGGCAGGUCUACAGAGAUAUCUCAUCAAAUCGGUGAUUUAUAUCCGAUUUAAACGAGGAUAAAAAUGAGUGUAUUUUCCACCCAUCAUGUUGACUUUUCGCAGCUAUACUGCCUUUAGUGUGUUGUAUUGUUCCCAUGACACCAAGUCUCCAAGGCCCGAGAAAAUAAGGAAAGUGAUAGCAGCCUAGAAAUCGACCAAGUUUCUUUCCCCCUUUGGCAUUCCUACUAGGAUUCGGAAUACUCUUUCGCAUGACAAUCAUAAUUAUCUCCCAUAAUCCAAAACUCACAAAAACAUCAAAAAUCCGCCGAGAAUAAAUUAAGUAAAAAACAGGCACACAUAGAUAAUAAUAAUAAUAAUAAUAAUCAUGUUUCUAUAAAAUUGCUAAGGCCAGAGAUAAUACAUAAAAAUAUUAGACUGCUCAUGACACAUAUCACGGUGGACAAUGUCUGUGUCCUUAUUACAAGCAGCGAGAGGAAUUAAACAUGCUUGUCACCACACACACGAGCGCACAGAUGCACGACACACAUAUAGUUGAGACCAACAGAUGGACCUCGACUACAGGUCGCCCCAUAUGGUGAACAAUUUAUUGGAGAUAAACAUGAACAUAACUUGGCCAUAGCUUGAAGCAUAGCAACAUAUGCCUAUGAAUGGCAUUCAUGCUGGUAGCAAUGCAAUCAUAUCGUUUUAGGCCUGUCCAGCUUCUUCCAUCUUAGCAAGCACUGCCAUUUCUUCCAUCUUAGCAGCAACUGUCAAAUUGAGAUAUGGAAAUCCCAUUAGCGCAUGAGUUAAUUUUGCAGUGGAAAUAGAGUACAAGAUGUCUUCAUGAUGUAAGUAAUAUGCCUGAAGUUGUGAGAUGGGAAGUGAAGUCAACAAAUUACAUUAACGGAAAUGCAUGGAAGGCCACACAUACGUAUUAGUCCACGAUAUGCUACAAAGCUUGUAUGUACAUAUAACAAAUUAAAUGCAUUGAAUAGAGUGAGUUUACUGAAUUUACCAGAAUCGGACAGAACACAUGGGAAACAGCAAGUGUUCUUGCAGAGUGAGUCGGAGCCACCUGCAGUAAUACAAGCAAAACAACAUGCUUUUGCCCGGGCGGAUACGCAGCAGCUGCACUGUGCCGCGGUGGCCGGGUUAACAUUGAGGCUCAAGAUGACCAGGCACAUGAUCACCAUCAAAGCGGUAGUCCUCUUUCCCUCCAUUGCCUCCUCUUUCUGCUACCUUCCUUGGUUACCUAGCUAAGUUUAUUGGUUUUGUGUUGAGAGGUGAUUCUUGAAUGGACGUUGCCGGCUGCAAUUUAUAGGCAGCUGCGCUAUGUGAUGAUAUGGACAAGGUGCAAAUGGGUGGUCCAAUGGCAAGGAAAGGGGGUAUUCUGCUUGACAUUGGCAUCAGACAAAGCCCAAUGGCAACUGCUGACACGCGAUUAAAAUCAGAUCCGCAUCUUAUCCAGCCAUUCACUAAUAAUUAAAGUAAACCCACGCGGUCCGCGAGAUGCAGCGUCCAUGCAUAGCACUUCCCGCCAAACAAUAGGAAAAAUUAGAAUUCAGAGAUAGCAGCUGCUUGCAUGAAACACGGUUGCACAGAAAUCAGUGGUGCUUGGACGGUAAGUAGUGUGGUGUACAAGCUUAAAGCGGCAGUGAGUCAGGUUAGUGUAACAAGCAGUACAUCAGCUGGAAGAUUGAUAUGUCUAUUGCCCACGCAGCAUAGCAUUUUAUUAUGAUACAUUGAGUUAUGUCAUAUUGUUACUUUAAGUUAUUUUUUAAGUAUUAGUUGUAGACAAUUUAGUUGCAAAUUUAAGCGGUUAUUUUAAAUUAUUUUUUAUAAUGGCAUAAGUGGGUAAUUUAGAUGAAGAUUAGGGGGUUACUUUAGCUUAUUUUAUAUAAUAGCAGAGGUGGGUAAUUUAGAUAUAAAUUUAGGGUUACUUUAGGCUAUUUUCUUAAUGGCAUAGGUGGGUAAUUUUUUUAGAAAUUAUAAUAGAUCUAAUGGCUACGAUGUUUGAGUCUACUCGUUGAUGGCAAGAUAUUUUGCUUGUUUGUGGAAAUUUUAAAUAUGUCUCUUUUUUGUAGAGUGUCCACCUAGGAUCCUAGGUGGCUUCGCUUGGAGGCUUCAAAAGGAGCUCCAAAAUUAGUAAUAGUAUGAUUUUCUCAAAAGAGACUUAAUUCUACCACUGUAACUUGAUUGGCCACCCUGGCCUCUACCUUUUCCCUCCAUUUGACUAUUUGAGUUGGCUGUGAACGAUUCUCGGCGCUAGCAACGUUACGUGUGAUCCAAAUGCCAGCACUCAUGUGCGCCACCUGUAUUCUAUGGGAAUGCCAUGAUGCAUGUGCAGUAACAGCGCGCACAUCUUGCAGGAUUCGCGCCUCGUUUUCACUAUUGUGUCAUCUUAGCAAUUAAAAGCGAAGUGUGCUUUGGGGUGGCAAUUGGGAUAUAGACAUUAUUCUCAAAAAGAAUCUUGAAGGCUUACAUUCACCCCCUCCGGUCGCCGGUUCCGAUCCUUCACCUAUAAAUUAGGAGUAGUAGUAGGUAGUAAGUGGCAGGUUAGGUAAGUACCCGUUGAUGAAUGUUGGCUUGGCGUGAUCGGCUCUGCUGGUUCCACGAAGAUGCCAAUAUACAGCAAGGACCUAAGUCCAAGGGGAAAAACAACCAACAAGUAGGUUUGUUGCCGACCGCUAGCUAAUCAACAGUGAUGUACGGGUGGAUUCGUGCGUAAAUAUUUUUUCAAUCAUGCCAUCAGGCCGCUGAUAAAAUGGGCUUAUGUUUGGCUAACCUUUAAAACAUUCUUAGAGCUGUUGGCCAUUGUGAUAACUUUGCACGUGCAUCAUUAACAUGCCAACAUACAACAAGGACAUAAGACCAAAGGAAAGAACAACCAACAAGUGCCUUUGCUGAUCGGUCAGGUCUCAGAGUUUGAGAAACUGGAUCUGACGGAUGUGAAAUUAAUCCAUGCGUGGCCUCAUGCAAAUUUGUUCACAGGUUUGAACAGCAUGUAAUCUUUUUCAGGCAUCUAUAUGGAGCGUGGGUGUGUUAUGUUAUCUUCUACUACACAUAUAACAUCAAAUUCAUUCAGUUUGGCCGAGAGCCCAAAAUGCAACGAAUAUGCCAUCCAACGUGAAAAAAAAGAGAUGAGGAACAGUAUACUCUAUCUUCGAAAUUAGUCAACGAGAUGCAGCUUCAAAAGAGAUAAGAGCAGACAAGAGGCACCAUGGGAUGCUGCAAAAUUUGGGAUCACGUGUGCAGAUCCCUAAUUAGGAAAAAAGAAUAAUUGAGCUAGCAACAAUAGUAGGACAUCUCCAUGCUCACCUAGUAUAGUAGCCACUUCUAGUGCGCGUGGAACACGACUGCCGGCCCAGUUGGCGCUAAGACAUCGUACGUGCAUUAAGUCUGAGGUGCUAGGACAGCUUCCUCUUGCUUCCCCACCAAAUCAUGAGCAACGAUCUCUUUCUUUCUAACUCAUGCUUGACUGUGACGGUGCUAUUAUAUAUUAUUGCAUGAUCAUCAAGAUAAGAUCGUAUAGUGACUGAGUGAGACAUCUAUGUACUAACUUGCAUUUAAGCCUCGAACUGUGUGUCAUUACGUGAGCUGCCUCCUGUCCUCGCCUCUGAAUUAUUGAACCGUUCCCAACAGCUAGUGUUGGUCUCAAAGGAAUUUGACACCAAACAGAUUGAUAAAGAAAAGAGAAUAAUACCUGGAAUUGGAAAAAGUUGAUCUCUCUAUACAAUGAGGUAGGGCUCCCCUUUUAUAGUGACCCAUCAGCCACUUUACAUUCCGAAAAUGUCCUUCCUCAACCACUACAUUCUUAGGAUAUGCCAUACAUAAAUGUCAUUUGAGGUGACGCGUACAAAUUGAACUCUUCCACGUGGUCACGUUUCUCACGCCUCUUGUUUUCCAACCUCGAGACUUCAUCUUCAUGCCAAGUUGAUCAUCUAGCCUCGAGGCUCCAUCUACGAUCCGGAAUGAACGUACAGCCUCGAGGCUCCUGCUUCGUUAAGCUUUGUUGAGAACUCAUAACCUCACAUAGUUCUCCUCCGAGUAUUGUAUCUGACUAAAGAGUAAAAAGGUAAAAGCUCGGUGCCCGGAACCGACUGAGAACACUCGAGGCUUAUAGCUCAGUUGGAGUUUAGCUAUUACCGUUGCCAGUCACCAGCCUCGAGCCCCUCCAGAAACAAGGUGAUGCGAGAGUACGAGUUUUACUAUUAGAGGUGUCCCCAUAGAACGUGCGAGGUUAAUGAGUUCAGUUUCUUUUACUGCCGACGCAUAACAUGCGAGGAUCAACGAAUAUGAGGAAUGGGACAUAGAACGUGCGAGGUUAAUGAGUUCAGUUUCUUUUACUGCCGACGCAUAACAUGCGAGGAUCAACGAAUAUGAGGAACACUAUAUGCCAUCCAACGGGAAAAAAAAAGAUGAGGAACAGUAUACUCUAUCUUCGAAAUUAGUUAUAAAGAUUCAGCUUCAAAAGAGAUAACGAGGUGUCCAAGACUCGAGGAGCCAGUCAAGAGCAGACAAGAGGCACAUGAGUGCAUGCAUCCACACCUUGGGAUGCUGCAAACUUUUAUGAGGCUGCAAGCUGCAUACAUAAGUUUAUUUCACCUUUGUUCACAAUACUCUUCACACACCAUUCACACACGUCUCAGGGAGCUCUGCAGCAAUGGUGGAGAUCUUAGCUAGACUGCUCACUUCCCUUGUUGUCGCUAUUGCUAAAAACACAAGCUCACCUCUGCUAUUGCGAAGCAGGCCAAUUUGCUGUGGAACUUUGGCGACGACCUGAAGGACAUGAAGUCGGUGCUGGAGUCCAUCUCAGCAGCGCUCCAGGACGCUGACACUGCUAGAAAAACGACCUUUCAUCCUCAACAAAAGUCCCGGUAGCUUUUUUACCUGGAACUAAAGAGGUUUUAGUGCUGCGCAAACACCUUUAGUCCGGGUUGCUGUUACCAACCAGGAGUAAAGGGUACGAUGGCACCAACCGGGACUAAAGCACCCCCCACGAGUUACUAUAAAGGAUUGCAUCCUCCACUUAGUCAGAUUUACUGUGUAGGUGAGAUGGUAAGGAAGCUAUGCGCGAGGCUUGAGAUCAUCGGUUCGAAUCCCAUGCACCGCGCGCGCACGCGCAUAGUUUGAGUGAAAAAUCAUGUCACUUGUGAUCGGCCAAGGAGAAGUGGGUGCAGAUGUGGCUUAAGCGGCUGAGGCACGCCGCCAUAGACAUCUCGGAUUUGCUACAUACAUCAUUGCACUUCCAAUUGACACCAAUUUAAAUGGUUCGUCUAGCCGCUACAAGGUAUCAUCAGAUAUAGAAGAAUUAGAGACUGGGGGUAAUAGCAAAAAAGGAAUAUAACUCGUCCGAGAAAUUGGGUGCAGGGGCGUGGGGUAAGGUAAUUGAAGUAACUAGCCAGUUUCUUCCCGAAACUUCCCAAGAAAAAUCCCGAAUUGGAUCCAAAAUUGACGGAUUAAUCAACCAAAAUAACCGUGAGCAGCCACAAUGUUAUAAGUCCCUUCUUCUUGACCAAAUUUGUAACCCUUAUUAGCAUACUCAUUUUCAGUGGUUUCCGUGAUCAAACUAGAGGUUACCAAGGAACCGUGUGCUCUAGCCCACAGGUGGCCGAAAACGGCCAAGAAGGGCUUCGGGGAUGGAAACAACGUGGAUGGUCAGAACACGUGAGAAUGACCACGGGAUGCAUGUUUGGCCCUGUAACAGUGUGCUAUAGAAAGCCGGAAAUGGCCAGGAGGGUCACCAGGGAUGAAGAUGCAGGGAUGGAUGGAACACGCGAAAAUGGCCACCAGUGAUUAGUGGCAGGUCUAGAGAGAUAUCUCAUCAAAUCGGUGAGUUAUAUCCGAUUUAAACGAGGAUAAAAAUGAGUGUAUUUUCCACCCAUCAUGUUGACUUUUCGCAGCUAUACUGCCUUUAGUGUGUUGUAUUGUUCCCAUGACACCAAGUCUCCAAGGCCCGAGAAAAUAAGGAAAGUGAUAGCAGCCCAGAAAUCGACCAAGUUUCUUUCCCCCUUUGGCAUUCCUACUAGGAUUCGGAAUACUCUUUCGCAUGACAAUCAUAAUUAUCUCCCAUAAUCCAAAACUCACAAAAACAUCAAAAAUCCGCCUAGAAUAAAUUAACUAAAAAACAUGCACACACAGAUAAUAAUAAUAAUAAUAAUAAUAAUAAUAAUAAUAAUAAUAAUAAUAAUAAUGUUUCUAUAAAAUUGCGAAGGCCAGAGACAAUACAUAAAAAUAUUAGACUGCUCAUGACACAUAUCACGGUGGACAGUGUCUACGUCCUUAUUACAAGCAGCGAGAGGAAUUAAACAUGCUUGUCACCACACACACGCGCGCGCACAGAUGCACGACACACAUAUGGUUGAGACCAACAAAUGGACCUCGACUAGAGGUCGCCCCAUAUGGUGAACAAUUUAUUGGAGAUAAACAUGAACAUAACUUGGCCAUAGCUUGAAGCAUAGCAACAUAUGCCUAUGAAUGGCAUUCAUGCUGGUAGCAAUGCAAUCAUAUCGUUUUAGGCUUGUCCAGCUUCUUCCAUCUUAGCAAGCACUGCCAUUUCUUCCAUCUUAGCAGCAACUGUCAUAUUGAGAUAUGGAAAUCCCAUUAGCGUAGGAGCUAAUUUUGCAGUGGAAAUAGAGUACAAGAUGUCUUCAUGAUGUAAGUAAUAUGCCUGAAGUUGUUAGAUGGGAAGUGAAGUCAACAAAUUACAUUAACGGAAAUGUAUGGAAGGCCACACAUACGUAUUAGUCCACGAUAUGCUACAAAGCUUGUAUGUACAUAUAACAAAUUAAAUGCAUUGAAUAGAGUGAGUUUACUGAAUUUACCAGAAUCGGACAGAACACAUGGGAAACAGCAAGUGUUCUUGCAGAGUGAGUCGGAGCCACCUGCAGUAAUACAAGCAAAACAACAUGCUUUUGCCCGGGCGGAUACGCAGCAGCUGCACUGUGCCGCGGUGGCCGGGUUAACAUUGAGGCUCAAGAUGACCAGGCACACGAUCACCAUCAAAGCGGUAGUCCUCUUUCCCUCCAUUGCCUCCUCUUUCUGCUACCUUCCUUGGUUACCUAGCUAAGUUUAUUGGUUUUGUGUUGAGAGGUGAUUCUUGAAUGGACGUUGCCGGCUGCAAUUUAUAGGCAGCUGCGCUAUGUGAUGAUAUGGACAAGGUGCAAAUGGGUGGUCCAAUGGCAAGGAAAGGGGGUAUUCUGCUUGACAUUGGCAUCAGACAAAGCCCAAUGGCAACUGCUGACACGCGAUUAAAAUCAGAUCCGCAUCUUAUCCAGCCAUUCACUAAUAAUUAAAGUAAACCCACGCGGUCCGCGAGAUGCAGCGUCCAUGCAUAGCACUUCCCGCCAAACAAUAGGAAAAAUUAGAAUUCAGAGAUAGCAGCUGCUUGCAUGAAACACGGUUGCACAGAAAUCAGUGGUGCUUGGACGGUAAGUAGUGUGGUGUACAAGCUUAAAGCGGCAGUGAGUCAGGUUGGUGUAACAAGCAGUACAUCAGCUGGAAGAUUGAUAUGUCUAUUGCCCACGCAGCAUAGCAUUUUAUUAUGAUACAUUGAGUUAUGUCAUAUUGUUACUUUAAGUUAUUUUUUAAGUAUUAGUUGUAGACAAUUUAGUUGCAAAUUUAAGCGGUUAUUUUAAAUUAUUUUUUAUAAUGGCAUAAGUGGGUAAUUUAGAUGAAGAUUAGGGGGUUACUUUAGCUUAUUUUAUAUAAUAGCAGAGGUGGGUAAUUUAGAUAUAAAUUUAGGGUUACUUUAGGCUAUUUUCUUAAUGGCAUAGGUGGGUAAUUUUUUUAGAAAUUAUAAUAGAUCCAAUGGCUACGAUGUUUGAGUCUACUCGUUGAUGGCAAGAUAUUUUGCUUGUUUGUGGAAAUUUUAAAUAUGUCUCUUUUUUGUAGAGUGUCCACCUAGGAUCCUAGGUGGCUUCGCUUGGAGGCUUCAAAAGGAGCUCCAAAAUUAGUAAUAGUAUGAUUUUCUCAAAAGAGACUUAAUUCUACCACUGUAACUUGAUUGGCCACCCCGGCCUCUACCUUUUCCCUCCAUUUGACUAUUUGAGUUGGCUGUGAACGAUUCUCGGCGCUAGCAACGUUACGUGUGAUCCAAAUGCCAGCACUCAUGUGCGCCACCUGUAUUCUAUGGGAAUGCCAUGAUGCAUGUGCAGUAACAGCGCGCACAUCUUGCAGGAUUCGCGCCUCGUUUUCACUAUUGUGUCAUCUUAGCAAUUAGGAGCGAAGUGUGCUUUGGGGUGGCAAUUGGGAUAUAGACAUUAUUCUCGAAAAGAAUCUUGAAGGCUUACAUUCACCCCCUCCGGUCGCCGGUUCCGAUCCUUCACCUAUAAAUUAGGAGUAGUAGUAGGUAGUAAGUGGCAGGUUAGGUAAGUACCCGUUGAUGAAUGUUGGCUUGGCGUGAUCGGCUCUGCUGGUUCCACGAAGAUGCCAAUAUACAGCAAGGACCUAAGUCCAAGGGGAAAAACAACCAACAAGUAGGUUUGUUGCCGACCGCUAGCUAAUCAACAGUGAUGUACGGGUGGAUUCGUGCGUAAAUAUUUUUUCAAUCAUGCCAUCAGGCCGCUGAUAAAAUGGGCUUAUGUUUGGCUAACCUUUAAAACAUUCUUAGAGCUGUUGGCCAUUGUGAUAACUUUGCACGUGCAUCAUUAACAUGCCAACAUACAACAAGGACAUAAGACCAAAGGAAAGAACAACCAACAAGUGCCUUUGCUGAUCGGUCAGGUCUCAGAGUUUGAGAAACUGGAUCUGACGGAUGUGAAAUUAAUCCAUGCGUGGCCUCAUGCAAAUUUGUUCACAGGUUUGAACAGCAUGUAAUCUUUUUCAGGCAUCUAUAUGGAGCGUGGGUGUGUUAUGUUAUCUUCUACUACACAUAUAACAUCAAAUUCAUUCAGUUUGGCCGAGAGCCCAAAAUGCAACGAAUAUGCCAUCCAACGUGAAAAAAAAGAGAUGAGGAACAGUAUACUCUAUCUUCGAAAUUAGUCAACGAGAUGCAGCUUCAAAAGAGAUAAGAGCAGACAAGAGGCACCAUGGGAUGCUGCAAAAUUUGGGAUCACGUGUGCAGAUCCCUAAUUAGGAAAAAAGAAUAAUUGAGCUAGCAACAAUAGUAGGACAUCUCCAUGCUCACCUAGUAUAGUAGCCACUUCUAGUGCGCGUGGAACACGACUGCCGGCCCAGUUGGCGCUAAGACAUCGUACGUGCAUUAAGUCUGAGGUGCUAGGACAGCUUCCUCUUGCUUCCCCACCAAAUCAUGAGCAACGAUCUCUUUCUUUCUAACUCAUGCUUGACUGUGACGGUGCUAUUAUAUAUUAUUGCAUGAUCAUCAAGAUAAGAUCGUAUAGUGACUGAGUGAGACAUCUAUGUACUAACUUGCAUUUAAGCCUCGAACUGUGUGUCAUUACGUGAGCUGCCUCCUGUCCUCGCCUCUGAAUUAUUGAACCGUUCCCAACAGCUAGUGUUGGUCUCAAAGGAAUUUGACACCAAACAGAUUGAUAAAGAAAAGAGAAUAAUACCUGGAAUUGGAAAAAGUUGAUCUCUCUAUACAAUGAGGUAGGGCUCCCCUUUUAUAGUGACCCAUCAGCCACUUUACAUUCCGAAAAUGUCCUUCCUCAACCACUACAUUCUUAGGAUAUGCCAUACAUAAAUGUCAUUUGAGGUGACGCGUACAAAUUGAACUCUUCCACGUGGUCACGUUUCUCACGCCUCUUGUUUUCCAACCUCGAGACUUCAUCUUCAUGCCAAGUUGAUCAUCUAGCCUCGAGGCUCCAUCUACGAUCCGGAAUGAACGUACAGCCUCGAGGCUCCUGCUUCGUUAAGCUUUGUUGAGAACUCAUAACCUCACAUAGUUCUCCUCCGAGUAUUGUAUCUGACUAAAGAGUAAAAAGGUAAAAGCUCGGUGCCCGGAACCGACUGAGAACACUCGAGGCUUAUAGCUCAGUUGGAGUUUAGCUAUUACCGUUGCCAGUCACCAGCCUCGAGCCCCUCCAGAAACAAGGUGAUGCGAGAGUACGAGUUUUACUAUUAGAGGUGUCCCCAUAGAACGUGCGAGGUUAAUGAGUUCAGUUUCUUUUACUGCCGACGCAUAACAUGCGAGGAUCAACGAAUAUGAGGAACACUAUAUGCCAUCCAACGGGAAAAAAAAGAUGAGGAACAGUAUACUCUAUCUUCGAAAUUAGUUAUAAAGAUUCAGCUUCAAAAGAGAUAACGAGGCGUCCAAGACUCGAGGAGCCAGUCAAGAGCAGACAAGAGGCACAUGAGUGCAUGCAUCCACACCUUGGGAUGCUGCAAACUUUUAUGAGGCUGCAAGCUGCAUACAUAAGUUUAUUUCACCUUUGUUCACAAUACUCUUCACACACCAUUCACACACGUCUCAGGGAGCUCUGCAGCAAUGGUGGAGAUCUUAGCUAGACUGCUCACUUCCCUUGUUGUCGCAAUUGCUAAAAACACAAGCUCACCUCUGCUAUUGCGAAGCAGGCCAAUUUGCUGUGGAACUUUGGCGACGACCUGAAGGACAUGAAGUCGAUGCUGGAGUCCAUCUCAGCAGCGCUCCAGGACGCUGACACUGCUAGAAAAACGACCUUUCAUCCUCAACAAAAGUCCCGGUAGCUUUUUUACCUGGAACUAAAGAGGUUUUAGUGCUGCGCAAACACCUUUAGUCCGGGUUGCUGUUACCAACCAAGAGUAAAGGGUACGAUGGCACCAACCGGGACUAAAGCACCCCCCACGAGUUACUAUAAAGGAUUGCAUCCUCCACUUAGUCAGAUUUACUGUGUAGGUGAGAUGGUAAGGAAGCUAUGCGCGAGGCUUGAGAUCAUCGGUUCGAAUCCCACGCACCGCGCGCGCACGCGCAUAGUUUGAGUGAAAAAUCAUGUCACUUGUGAUCGGCCAAGGAGAAGUGGGUGCAGAUGUGGCUUAAGCGGCUGAGGCACGCCGCCAUAGACAUCUCGGAUUUGCUCGAAGACUACCAAGACACUAGCGAACCCUUAACAGCAAAGGUGAGUACUUAUGCGUGUCAACAUCUAUGUUGUCCAUGCUUCCAAUGCAAUAAGAAGAAGGACUACUCUUCCUAGCGGACUCUUCACAACCACUCGUAAAGCUAUGUGUUUCUCAAUUCAAUUUCGUAGAAGGCAAUGGAUCCAAUCAACCGACUAAAUCAUUCGUCCUUGCCAAUGAUGUGCUUCAGGUUUUCUAUAUGAAGGACAUGUGACUACUAGAAAAACGAUCUUUCAUCCCUAGCCUUAGUACCGGUUGCAUUUGGAACCGGUACUAAUGUUUACAUUAGUACCGGUUCCAAAGGAUACUAUCCGGAGCGCACCUCGAUGACCCCUUUAGUACCGGUUGGGGGCAACAACCGGUACUAAAGGGUGAGCAUUAGUACCGGUUGUUACCUUAAUCCGGUACUAAAGGGCUACCCACCCUCUAUUACCGGUUGGUGGCAUCAACCGGUACUAAAAGGGAUACCCUCUAGCACCGGUUGCUGCCACAACCCGGUACUAGUGCGGCGCCAUGCAGAAUAGAAGGUAGAUCGAUUGUACAUGGAGGGGGAACAAAGGGAGAAAGGCAAAUCAUCAGCUUAUUAUCACAUGGUAGACUAGUCUUUAAAACAUGUUUAGGGCAGAGCACAUUACGUUUAUCUUGUUUUGCACAACAACAAAUGUGACCUUUAGAAGAUAGCCCUCCUCUAAUUAAACUAGUGCACUAUUACAGGAUGGUAUCGCACGCUUCCUUUUUCCCUAUGAAAAUGAAGUUUUUAAUGAUCUGAUAGCAGCUGGCAAAACAAAUGAUUGCAAAGAUGUUUGCAGAUGUUUGCAGAUGAUAAUGCCACAGUCGACGGAGAGAGCAUCUGGGUCUAACCAUAAUAACACAAGUCUUUCCUUUAGAUAACAUGCCAUCAGAUUCCUUGCAAGAGUUUGUAUGUUCGACCAACAGGAAGUUGACGAAAGAGUGGGACAAAAAUGUGACUCGAUCAUGUCAUUGUGGGCAAAGGUCCUAGUGGCUCAUGGAAUAGAUGAUAUCACUUGAAGUACAUAGGACAGAGAGGCCAUAGUCGGCACAAGGAGAAGCAUGACCAGAAACUUGAAAGAGGUAAGCUUCAAAGCUAGGAGGAAUGUUAUUCUUGCUAGUUCAAUGGUGUCUUCUUAUAGAUCAGUUCAUAGAUCUUAUAUAUUUGGCCGUGACGAUAAUAAAUAUUUAAUAUGAACUCAGAUAUAGAUAAAAUUUAUAUCAAAAUUGUUGAUCUCAACGAGAUUUACAACUUUGUAGUUCAAAUUAUUUUCAUUUGGAGCCAUCUUGGUGCUCAAAUAAUCGAAACAUUUUUUAGAUCUAAAAUUUAAUUUUAGAUCUAAAACUUGUGUCGAUUAUUUGAGCACCAAGAUAAUACCAAAUGAAAAAUGUUUGAACUACAAAGUUGUAGAUCUCGUCGAGAUCUACAAUUUUCAUAUAAAGUUUAUCUCCAUCCGAGUUCAUAUGAAUUAGUUCAACCGGCGGUAAUGCUGCUACAGUGUAGCUUCUGCCGUUUCAAACGACGGUAUAGGUUUAGAUUACCAAUUUUUUUUAACCCAUAUAUUUUUGCAAAAUACUAAAAUAAAAAAUAUAUAAAAAAAUUCUAGUUUUAAUCAGCAAUGACUAAAUGUUAGCCCGGUUAUGCCCCAUGUUAGGUCUAGUCAUGGACCAAUAAAACAUGUGCUAGACUUCAUGGCCACCGGAUGCGUGUUCAACCAUGUAAUCGUAUGCUAUACCUCACAGGAGGUUGAAAAUGGCCCGAAGGGGUACAGUGGAUGAAAACGUCGGGGACACUCGGAACACAAGAAAAUGACCACCAGAUACGUGUUUGGCCAUUGUAACUGUGCGCUAUAGUUGAUAGGUUGAAAGCGGCUCGAAGAGGCAUCAGGGAUGGAAACAUGGGGGAUGGUCGGAACACUUGAAAAUGGCACUGGAUAAGUGUGCUUAUUCCUUACAAAACGCUGAAAAUGGCUCGGAAGGGUCAUCGAGGAUGGAAACUAGGUGGUCAAUAAGUGAAAAUGGGCAGCGGACAUGUUCGGUCAUGUAACCGUGUGCUAUAGUCCACUAGAGGUCGGAAAGCUGCCCUAGGGGCUCUAGAGACGAAAACGUGAGGAACAGCUAAAAGGUUACGUGUUUGGUCAUGACAGCCCUAUUAGGAAGCGAUAGAAGUGGAAAGAUAGCUGGUUUCAGAUUGGCAACCCAUCUUUUGCUUCCCCCUUACUUCCAUCCGUAAUCCAUGGGCAUCGAAUUUAAAAGUAUACAAAUCACUUUUAGAUGUAAUUGAGGGUAAAGAGGGGAGGUUUCGUGAGACUCUACAAUGUUCAAAUCGUUCAUUCGUUAGGAUGCCUCAGCUACAUACAUCAUUGCACUUCCAAUUGACACCAAUUUAAAUGGUUCGUCUAGCCGCUACAAGGUAUCAUCAGAUAUAGAAGAAUUAGAGACUGGGGGUAAUAGCAAAAAAGGAAUAUAACUCGUCCGAGAAAUUGGGUGCAGGGGCGUGGGGUAAGGUAAUUGAAGUAACUAGCCAGUUUCUUCCCGAAACUUCCCAAGAAAAAUCCCGAAUUGGAUCCAAAAUUGACGGAUUAAUCAACCAAAAUAACCGUGAGCAGCCACAAUGUUAUAAGUCCCUUCUUCUUGACCAAAUUUGUAACCCUUAUUAGCAUACUCAUUUUCAGUGGUUUCCGUGAUCAAACUAGAGGUUACCAAGGAACCGUGUGCUCUAGCCCACAGGUGGCCGAAAACGGCCAAGAAGGGCUUCGGGGAUGGAAACAACGUGGAUGGUCAGAACACGUGAGAAUGACCACGGGAUGCAUGUUUGGCCCUGUAACAGUGUGCUAUAGAAAGCCGGAAAUGGCCAGGAGGGUCACCAGGGAUGAAGAUGCAGGGAUGGAUGGAACACGCGAAAAUGGCCACCAGUCAUUAGUGGCAGGUCUAGAGAGAUAUCUCAUCAAAUCGGUGAGUUAUAUCCGAUUUAAACGAGGAUAAAAAUGAGUGUAUUUUCCACCCAUCAUGUUGACUUUUCGCAGCUAUACUGCCUUUAGUGUGUUGUAUUGUUCCCAUGACACCAAGUCUCCAAGGCCCGAGAAAAUAAGGAAAGUGAUAGCAGCCCAGAAAUCGACCAAGUUUCUUUCCCCCUUUGGCAUUCCUACUAGGAUUCGGAAUACUCUUUCGCAUGACAAUCAUAAUUAUCUCCCAUAAUCCAAAACUCACAAAAACAUCAAAAAUCCGCCGAGAAUAAAUUAACUAAAAAACAUGCACACACAGAUAAUAAUAAUAAUAAUAAUAAUAAUAAUAAUAAUAAUAAUAAUAAUAAUAAUAAUAAUAAUAAUCAUGUUUCUAUAAAAUUGCUAAGGCCAGAGACAAUACAUAAAAAUAUUAGACUGCUCAUGACACAUAUCACGGUGGACAGUGUCUGUGUCCUUAUUACAAGCAGCGAGAGGAAUUAAACAUGCUUGUCACCACACAUGCGCGCGCACAGAUGCACGACACACAUAUGGUUGAGACCAACAGAUGGACCUCGACUAGAGGUCGCCCCAUAUGGUGAACAAUUUAUUGGAGAUAAACAUGAACAUAACUUGGCCAUAGCUUGAAGCAUAGCAACAUAUGCCUAUGAAUGGCAUUCAUGUUGGUAGCAAUGCAAUCAUAUCGUUUUAGGCUUGUCCAGGUUCUUCCAUCUUAGCAAGCACUGCCAUUUCUUCCAUCUUAGCAGCAACUGUCAAAUUGAGAUAUGGAAAUCCCAUUAGCGCAUGAAUUAAUUUUGCAGUGGAAAUAGAGUACAAGAUAUCUUCAUGAUGUAAGUAAUAUGCCUGAAGUUGUGAGAUGGGAAGUGAAGUCAACAAAUUACAUUAACGGAAAUGCAUGGAAGGCCACACAUAUGUAUUAGUCCACGAUAUGCUACAAAGCUUGUAUGUACAUAUAACAAAUUAAAUGCAUUGAAUAGAGUGAGUUUACUGAAUUUACCAGAAUCGGACAGAACACAUGGGAAACAGCAAGUGUUCUUGCAGAGUGAGUCGGAGCCACCUGCAGUAAUACAAGCAAAACAACAUGCUUUUGCCCGGGCGGAUACGCAGCAGCUGCACUGUGCCGCGGUGGCCGGGUUAACAUUGAGGCUCAAGAUGACCAGGCACAUGAUCACCAUCAAAGGGGUAGUCCUCUUUCCCUCCAUUGCCUCCUCUUGCUGCUACCUUCCUUGGUUACCUAGCUAAG